UUAAAAGAGGUGGACUUGGAUCUCUUAUCGAGUAUCACGUCGUCCCUGUCCACUAUGGAGCAUAGCGUGGUUAGCUCCUCGGCCGAGAGGGCUUCGGAUAAUCCCUCGAGGGCCAGUGCGGCUGUUUUGUUUUCAGCUCGGUGUGUUGUGUCCAGAUCACUAGCGAGGGUGAUGAUUCCGUUGGGCCCGGGCAUUUUGAGCUUCAUGUACCCGUAAUGGGGUACGGCUUGGAAGAUCGUGAACGCCUCACGUCCUAAAAGGGCGUGGUAUGCACUGCUGAACGAGGCCACUUGAAAUGUAAUUUCUUCAGACCUAUAAUUCUCUGGCGUACCGAAUACCACAUCUAAUGUGAUUUUCCCAGCGCGUCAUGCCUCCCGAUUGGGUAUGAUUCCCCUGAAGGUUGUGCUACUUUGCUCAAUGCGGUUCAAAUCUAUUUCCAUUUUUUGAAGAGUUUCCUCAUAGAUGAGGUUUAAUCCGCUGCCGCGGUCCAUGAGUACUUUGGUGAGUCGAAAGCCGUCCACAAUUGGACUGAGGACCAGUGCAGCUGGUGCUUAGGCUGUUCGGAAUUUAGGUUCGUCACUGGCAUUGAAGGUAAUAGCCGUGUCACUCCAUGGAUUUAUUGCUGCUAUGUGGCAGAUUUUGGCCAUGCUGCGGAGUGUUCGCUUGCGCCUAUUAUUUGACGCAAAGGUCGCAAAGACUGUUAACACCGUAUUAUUAUACACGGGAUGGUGCUCUGUGGCAUUUGGGAUAAGAAGAUCCUCACCACUUUUGGCCACCUGCCGGAGUAUCCAACAUGCUCUAAGGUUGUGUGUUGGUAUUGUAUCCGUUGUACUGUGAAUUUUGCAGGGUCCGUUAAGCCAUCCCUCCAGUACGGUUCCAUGCCAUGUAGAGGGUUUUUGUUUCUUUGCAACUAGCUCGGGCGUCUUAUGAUAGUGCACCCUUUUACUUCGGACUGGGUGUAUAUUCGGAGCCGGAUUAUCCCAAAGUUUUGUUACGGUUUUCCAGGCACUUUCCAUCGCACAGUACUUUUGUACUAUGGAUGCCAAGUUCGCGAAGCGUGAUAUGUCACGGCGACCUAAGGCGUUAAGGAUUCCCUUAUCCGUGCAAUUAUUGCAGAAAAGUGAGACUGCAUCUUCCUCGCGACAGUCCUUAACCUUGUUCAUCACAAGGAGGAAUCUGGCCCAAUAAUGAUGUACUCUUUCAUGGGGCUCUUGCCUGAUGUGGGAACGAUUGUUUAUGUUUGGGUGGGUGGGUGGAUUUGAGUCCGAAUCCCUACCCGAUCUGAGACCCAGGGGCCGAGGAGUUUCCAAUCUUGGAAGUUCGGGUUCUGGAGUGUUACCCGAUAAAUUUGGCCCGCUGCCUAAUUAGGUUCAGGGCUUGGGUAAUGUCCUCCCAUAAGCGGGUAUCCGGCUCGGAGAGCUCAGGAAUCCGGACAUAGUUAGUCCUUAAAAUAGAGGAAGAGUUGUCGCAUUGUUCCUCCACCACUGCAACGUGAUGGGUGACCGGUGGAGAGUUAAUCUCCCUUUGAUCGGGUUUAAGCCCAAUCUGGUCAUAGUUCAUAGCGACUCCCAAGGCGGUGAUGCGAUCCAAGAGUUCGUUUAGGGAAGAGGGCUCCAUUGGAUCCAUCUGCUUGGCGACUUCCGAGCCGACAUGGAGGCUGUUUUUGAUGACCCAAGAAGUCAUCGUCGGUGCAGCGGCCGAACAGGCAGUCAUGACGAAACUACCUAGCUGGAGAGUUUGGCCGACAGCCAGAGCUCGCCCGACGGUAAUGUUGAUUUUAACAAUGAGACGAGGCAUCCUUCCUUACGGCGACGUCACAGAGGAACUCUCAAUGAAAGCACCAAUGUCGGUGUCAAAACCGGCGGAUCUCGGGUAGGGGGUCCCGAACUGUGCGUCUAAGGCGGAUGGUAACAGGAGGCAGGGAACACAAUGUUUUACCCAGGUUCGGGCCCUCUUGAUGGAGGUAAAACCCUACGUCCUGCUUGAUUUAUUCUUGAUGACAUGAGUAUUACAAGAGUUGGUCUACCACAAGAUCGGAGAGGCUAAACCCUAGAAGCUAGCCUAUGGUAUGAUUGUAUGUUGUCCUACGGACUAAAACCCCCCGGUUUACAUAGACACCAGAGGGGGUUAGGGUUACACAAGGUCGGUUACAAAGGAGGAGAUAUACAUAUCUGUAUUGCCUAGCUUGCCUUCCACACCAAGUAGAGUCCCAUCCGGACACGAGACGAAGUCUUCAAUCUUAUAUCUUCAUAGUCCAACAGUCCGGCCAAAGGAUAUAAUCCGGCUGUCCGGAUACCCCCUAAUCCAGGACUCCCUCAAUGGCACUCGGGCCCUAGUGACGAGCAUUAAGCAUAGCAAAGUCAUAGCAACAUCAAUCUCAGAACAUAGUGGAUACUAGGGAUCAAACCCUAACAAAACUAACUCGAUUACAUGAUAAAUCUCAUCCAACCCAUCACCGUCCAGCAAGCCUACGAUAGAAUUACUCAUGCACGGCGGUGAGCAUCAUGAAAUUGGUGAUGGAGGAAGGUUGACGAUGACGAUGGUGACGGAUUCCCCUCUCCGGUGCCCCGAACGGACUCCAGAUCAGCCCUCCCGAGAGAGUUUAGGGCUUGGCGGCGACUCUGUAUCGUAAAAUGUGAUGAAUCCUUCUCUCUGGUUUUUUCUCCCUGAAAGUGAAUAUAUAGAGUCAAGGUUGAGGUCGAUGGAUCGUCAGGGGGCCCACGAGGCAGGGGGCGCGCCCCCACCCUCGUGGACAAGUGGAGGCCCCUGGCAUGGAUCUUCCUUCCAGUAUUUAUUAUAUAUUCCAAAAUAAUUCUCCGUUGAUUUUUAGGUCAUUCCGAGAACUUUUAUUUCUGCACAAAAAUAACACCACAACAAUUCUGCUGAAAACAUCGUUAGUCCAGGUUAGUUACAUUCAAAUCAUGCAACUUAGAGUCCAAAACAAGGGCAAAGGUGUUUGGAAAAGUAGAUACGGCGGAGACGUAUCAACUCCCCCAAGCUUAAACCUUUGCUUGUCCUCAAGCAAUUCAGUUGAUAAACUGAAAUGGAAAAAGAAAAACUUUUACAAACUCUGUUUGCUCUUGUUGUUGUAAAUAUCUAGAUCCAGCAUUCAAGUUUUCAGCAAAGAUUAUGAACUAACAAUAAUCACAAUAACAUUUUAGGUCUCAUGUUUACUCAUAUCAAUGGCAUAAUCAACUAGCGAGCAAUAAUAAUAAAUCUCGGAUGACAACACUUUCUUAAAACAAUCAUGAUAUGAUAUAACAAGAUGGUAUCUCGCUAGCCCUUUCUGAGAUCGCAAAACAUAAAUGCAGAGCACCUUUAAAGAUCAAGGACUGACUAGACAUUGUAAUUCAUGGUAAAAGAGAUCCAGUCAAGUCAUACUCAAUGUAAACUAAAAGUAAUUAAUGCAAAUGACAGUGGUGCUCUCCAACUGGUGCUUUUUAAUAAGCGGAUGAUGACUCAACAUAAAAGUAAAUAGAUAGUCCCUUCGUAGAGGGAAGCAGGGAUUUGUAGAGGUGCCAGAGCUCGGUUUUGAAAUAGAUAUGAAUAAUAUUUUGAGCGGUAUACUUUCAUUGUCAACAUAACAACCAAGAGAUGGCGAUAUCUUCCAUGCUACACACAUUAUAGGAGGUUCCCAAAUAGAAUGGUAAAGUUUAUACUCCCCCUCCAUCAACAAGCAUCAAUCCUUGGCUUGCUCGAAACAACGAGUGCCUCCAACUAACAAUAGUCCUGGGGAGUUUUGUUUGCAGUUAUUUUGAUUUGAUUUGCAUAGAGCAUGGGACUAGGCAUCCCGGUGACCAGCCAUUUUAUCGUGAGUGAGGAGCGGAGUCCACUCCUCUUGAGAAUAACCCGCCUAACAUGGAAGAUACGGACAGCCCUAGUUGAUACAUGAGCUAUUCGAGCAUACAAAACAAAAUGUUUAUUUGAAGGUUUAGAGUUUGGCACAUACAAAUUUACUUGGAACGGCAGGUAGAUACCAUAUAUAGGUAGGUAUGGUGGACUCAUAUGGAAUAACUUUGGGGUUUAUGGAAUUGGAUGCACAAGCAGUAUUCCCGCUUAGUACAGGUGAAGGCUAGCAAAAGUCUGGGAAGCAACCAGCUAGAGAGCGACAACAGUCAUGAACAUGCAUUAAAAUUAAUCAACACCGAAUGCAAGCAUGAGUAGGAUAUAAUGCACCAUGAAGAUAAAUAUCAUGGAGGCUAUGUUGAUUUUGUUUCAACUACAUGCGUGAACAUAUGCCAAGUCAAGCCACUCGAAUCAUUCAAAAGAGGAUACCAUCCUAUCAUACCACAUCACAACCAUUUUAAUAGCAUGUUGGCACGCAAGGUAAACCAUUAUAAGCUCCUAGCUAAUUAAGCAUGGCAUAAGCAACUAUAAUCUCUAAUUGUCAUUGCAAACAUGUUUAUUCAUAAUAGGCUGAAUCAGGAACGAUGAACUAAUCAUAUUUACAAAAACUAGAGAGGUCGAGUUCAUACCAACUUUUCUCAUCUCAAUAAGUUCAUCAUAUAAUCAUCAUUAUUGCCUUUCACUUGCACGACCGAACGAUGUGAAUAAUAAUAAUUGUGCAUGUGCAUUGGACUAAGUUGGAAUCUGCAAGCAUUCAAUUCAAGAGAGAAGACAAGGUAAUAUGGGCUCUUUGUCAGAUCAAUCGAUAAUGCAUAUAAGAGCCACUUUAACAUUUUAAUUAUGGUCUUAUCCUCUCGACCCCCAAAGGACAGAGAAGAAACAAAACUAUGUAUAUGGGAAAGCUCCCAACAAGCAAAAGAAGAACGAGAAAUCUUUUUGGGUUUUAUUUUUAAUUACUUCUACAAGCAUGGAAGGUAAACUCAUUAAAAGCUACAACUAAUUUUUUUUGUUUUUAUAAGGUUUAUUAAACACACAAGAAGAAAGCAUAAAAAGGAAAAUAAACUAGCAUGGAUGAUACAAUGAAAAAGUAUGAGCACCGACAACUAGCAAUGAGUGUGUGAAUGUAACAUCCCAAAUUUUCAAUUUGAAAUGUUAUACAUUAAAUCAUCAUUGCAUACCAUAUUUUAUUUUGCCUUUUGGUUGAUCCUAGAAAUUCUACGCAACUCAAUGACCCACGGAGAGAGUUGGGGAUUUCAUUAUUUUCAUAUUUGAGUUUUCUCAAAUUUUGAGAAUAAGAUCAUUUGAUUUUAUUUAUUUUAUCAUCAAUUAUUUCUAUUACAAAAAUAUGAGAGAGGGAAUAAAAUGACUUUCCCAAAAUAAAGAAAUAUUGAGGAUUUCAUAAUAAAAUCAAAUAAGAUUUUAUUUCAGAGUUUUUCGGUGUUUUAUUUGAAUUUAGGAAAAAUGUGCGUUUUUCAAAAUUGCAUUUAGGUCCCAAAUAAAUGUUCACCUUGUGCGGCUCGAUUUUAGAAGCCCGUGAAAAUUUAUUUUGGAAUUUUUGGAGUCUGUUUAGUAUUUCUUUUUAUUUUUCUUCUGCAUGUAAUAUUUAAAAAAACGAACCGACCUACGAGCCGUGUCCGACUAGGACUCCGGCCCGAGGUGGCCUUUAUAAGCCGGCCUAGCCCCGGGGGGGAAACCCUAGCCCCAGCCCCGCCCCGCACCCGCGCCCGCCGCCGCCGCNNNNNNNNNNNNNNNNNNNNNNNNNNNNNNNNNNNNNNNNNNNNNNNNNNNNNNNNNNNNNNNNNNNNNNNNNNNNNNNNNNNNNNNNNNNNNNNNNNNNNNNNNNNNNNNNNNNNNNNNNNNNNNNNNNNNNNNNNNNNNNNNNNNNNNNNNNNNNNNNNNNNNNNNNNNNNNNNNNNNNNNNNNNNNNNNNNNNNNNNNNNNNNNNNNNNNNNNNNNNNNNNNNNNNNNNNNNNNNNNNNNNNNNNNNNNNNNNNNNNNNNNNNNNNNNNNNNNNNNNNNNNNNNNNNNNNNNNNNNNNNNNNNNNNNNNNNNNNNNNNNNNNNNNNNNNNNNNNNNCCGCCUCGCCGGAGCCGCCGCCCCGCCCGCACGCUCGUCGAGGUUCACCGCCACCUCGUUUCCCGUGCCGCCGUUUUUUUCGAAAAACCGUCGGUUUUUCAUCGGGUUUUUUUACAUUCGGUUUUUUUUUAAAUAGAUCGGUUUUUCCGGUUUAUUUAAAUAGCGAGCGUUCGUCCGUUCAUUCAUUCUAGCGAACGUUCGUCGUUUUUCUUUUUCUCAGAUUAAAUCCGCGAUUUUUCUGAUCGCGAUUCCUGAUCCGAUUUUCGUUUUAGUAUAACUUUUCGCUCGUUUAUCGGAAUCAGGAGAUUCAAGCGCCUAGAGUUUCGUCUCGAAACCCUCUAUCCGUUUAACCAACUUAAACAAGAUUUUGCUACUGUAAAAUUUGCCCUAGAUCCAUAUUAGUAGAACAAAGUUGUUUUCUUUCGCCGUUUGACUUUCGUUGCUUCGUUCGAUUUGAUUCUUUUUGCCAACCGGAGUUCUUAAGUUGAACCUUCUGGUUAGAUCUCUUAUUUGAGUUUUACCCGUGCAUUAGAUGAGUACUUAUUGUAUGCUCGUUUGUUUGUUUGCGAUAGAGUAUCCGGAGUGCGCCGGUUGUUACUUCGAAUCGCUAGGUUUCCCGGAUCAUCAGCAAGGCAAGUAACACUUUGAUCAUACCUUUCCUACUACCUAGUUUUAUUGCAUUAGAUCAAUCCUCACACAUUGCAUGGUGAGGAUCUAAUUAAAUUGUGGGAUGGGAAGUAGAUGAGGUAGUACCUAUUACCUGUUUAUUAUCAAACCUUUGGGAGUUACUUCUACGUUUGCUUAUUAUGCCAUGCUAUGCUAGUAGACAUGGAUUGGGUGAGUGAUAUCCAUGAUAGAGGUGAGUUUUGUUAAUUAAUGGUUUAUCUAAGGUGGCAACUUAAACACACAUCUGGGUGGAUUGAGGCACCUGGGUAUUGCAGGACUUGCCUAUUUUCUUUUGGACUGCCACCCAGGCUCAAAGGGAUCAUGAGACUAUUCAUACUAGAAACUUUCGUGUGCAGCCACAAGCUAUUAUGGGAUCUAGCAUAGUUGACUAAGUCGUGCGAACUCUUACAGUGGUAGAUUAGCAGAUGUAGGGGAUGUAGGUGGUACGGUCUACCCGAUCAUAAGGUGCUAGCGCUUCUGAAAGACUAUGUCUCGGUCAUCCGUUUCUCAAACACCAUGUAGUGCGAGAAACCAAAUGGAGGCGAUCGAGUCUUGUGGGGAAAAGUGCGCAAACCUCUGCAGAGUGUAAUAAACUAAUCAUGGUUAGCCGUGUCCCCGGUUAUGGACAUCUUGAGUAUCUAGUACCUGGAUUAUCAUGUGAAUCUCAACAUGUUACUCUAAAUUAAUUUUGUUGGGUUAUGUUUAAUGAUGAUGCUUAAUUGGGAUUGAGAAUGCUGUCAACCAUUCUCAAUGUUUAACAACUACCAUGAUAGUUAAAUAAAUUAUAUUCCUUUGAAGUAGGGAAAAAUUGGCUUUACGCAAAACUGUAACCAUAGAGCUUUCCACCAGCCAAAUAUGCAUAUAGUAUAGCUGUUUCAUUCCAUUACUCUCUAUGUGUUAUAUUGCCAGCAUAUUCCAUGUGCUGACCCGUUUCGGGCUGCAACGUUAAUGUUGCAGACUUUUCAGACGAUGAUUAAGGAGUUUUUAGGUCAUGGUUCUAUACUCAGUGAUGCCGUUGGAGUUGAUGGACUCACUUAUCUUCCAAGCCUUCCGCCGUUAUCGUUAUUAGAUGGCCUUAAGCCAUAUUUAUUGUAAUAAGUUCUCUUUUGAGACACUCGAUGUAAUAAGUGUGUGAUUGCUACUCUGCUAUAAAUCCUCCGAGUACUGUGUGGUGUCAGCAUUACUGAUCCAGGGAUGAUACCGGAGCACAGAGAUCAGACUGUUUGAGGUCUGCUCGCUACAGUGAACAGGAAUGUAAUGUCGGUGAGAAAUACGUACUCCCCCAAGCUUAGGCUUUUGGCCUAAGUUGGUCUAUGGCCACGGCUGGCCUGGCGGAUAUCCAUAGUAAUAGUUGGGGUCGUACUGUGAAGAAGCCUCGCAUUGCCACUGGUUGGCAAUCACCUCCGGAUCCCACUGGUAAUCAGACUGUCGUGCAGGAUCAAAUUGUGGUUCCGACUUUGGCUCUGUAGCUGAUGUAGGGUUUCGGUAGGCGUGAAUGGCCUCCAACGGAACAAGGUACUUGCCUGCAGAUAAAUCAAACAAUGAAGGAGCAGGCAAGGUAAUAGUCUCAGGGUGAUUUUUACCAAAUAUUAAUUUGUACUUAAGCGCCUUUUCCCUAUUCUUAACAAUAAAAUCAUGUGCUACCAUACUCUUAUAAUCUAGAUAAACAGGAGGCAGCAAUUUUUCUUCUUUCUCAUAAUGCCUAAUAGGUAUGUUAAAAUGUGCAGCGGGGCGCGAGGUGAAGAUGCCUCCAAGGACAGGGCCCUUAGUACGGUUAAGAUUUAACCUCUUUGCAACAAUAGCGCCCAAACUAAAUGUGUCAUCACGAAAUAAGGCAUGACACAAAAUAACAAUAUCAGGGGCACUCAGGUUUCCACAGUUUCCGUGCCCAAUUAAGCACCUACUAGCAAAUAUAGCAAAGUAGCGUAGAACAGGAAAGUGUAUGCUAGUAAUUCGUGCGUCGGAAACCUUCCUCGUUUCCCCUACAACAAUGGUAUCAAUAAACCCAUCAACAUCGUCACAAUGUGGUUCCUAUUCCCUGCCCUCAAAAGGGAUCAAACAAACCUGACAAAAAUCACGAAGUGACAUCUCCUUAUGCUCAUCAUAUAAAUAAAAUUCCACCGUAGGUGGUGAGCUCCUAGCAUGGAAAUGAAAAUUUUGCACAGAGAUAUUGGUGAGUAAGAGAUAUUGUUCGCGUUGGUCGUGGAGGAAGGCGGUGAGGCAUGGAUUUUCAGCCAAUUCAUAGAAAUCAUCAUAAAUCCCGGCUGCUCUCAAGAAAUCAUCACAAGGCCAUUCACACGGCCGGACCUCCGCGGUGCGGGGGAGAUUAUACUUGGGCCUCUUAUCCUCCUCACUUUGCUUAUCCUUCGAGCUUUGGCUCGAUGAGCCCCUCAAAAAUAUCUUCAUCUUUUUCUGAAAUUUUCUGAAAUUUUUAGUAACUUCAAAAUAAAGUAAACCAAACUCAACAAAAUUGAUAGCAACUACUCCCACAAGUGCCUAGAGGAAAUAUCAUGCAUCAAAACUACUUUUGACCACAUAAAUUUGACAUACAAGCUCAAGAACAGGGUCACCUAAGCAGCAAAAAUUUGCAAUGAAUAAAGCACUAGAACAAAAACUAAUUGGACCAUUGGAGGAGUCACAUACCAAGGAACAAUCCCCCAAAGCAGUUUUGUGAGAGGUGCUUUGAGCAAGGAGAUCGAAAAUGGCAGCAAGAUGAGCUUGGGCUCGGGUUUGAGCUGGUUGGUGGUGUUUAUGGGAGGAAGAAGGAGUGUGUGGUAGCUGGAAUAAGUGGAGGGGAGCCACUGUGGGCCCACGAGGCAGGGGGCGCGCCCAGGGGGUAGGGCACGCCCUCCACCCUCGUGGCCAGGUGCUUGCUCCCCCUGCUGUGUUUUCAGUGCCAGAUAUUCUCAAAUAUUCCAGAAAAAAUCAUAUUUAAUUUUCAGGGCAUAUGGAGAACUUUUAUUUUUGGAGUAUUUUUUUAUUACAUGGAUAAUUCAGUAAACAGAUAGAAAUUACUAUUUUUUCUUUAUUUAAUAUAAAUAACAGAAAGUAAAAAGAUGGUACAGAGAGUUGUGUUUUCUAAAUUCAUCCAUCUCAUGCUCAUUAAAAGGAAUCCACUAACAAGGUUGAUCAGGUCUUGUUAACAAACUCAUUCCGAAUAACAUGGAACCGGAGAAGUAGGUUACCUCAACGGAGAUAUGCACAUCCCCAACAAUAAGAAUAUCAUAUUUCUUCUUGACAGUAGGAAGAGGAAAUUCAAAACCUCCAAAAAUAAUCGAUGGAAUUUUUCCAAUAGAAUGGAUACUGUGAACUUGAGGUUGUUUCCUUGGAAAGUGUACCGUAUGCUCAUUACCAUUAACAUGAAAAGUGACAUUGCCUUUGGUGCAAUCAAUAAUAGCCCCUGCAUUAUUCAAAAGGGUCUUCCAAGAAUAAUAGACAUACUAUCGUCCUCGGGAAUAUCAAGAAUAACAAAGUCUGUUAAAAUAGUAAUGUUUGCAACCACAACAGGCACAUCCUCACAAAUACCGAUAGGUAUAGCAGUUGAUUUAUCAGCCAUUUGCAAAGAUAUUUUAGUAGGUGUCAACUUACUCAAAUCAAGUCUAUGAUAUAAAGAGAGAGGCAUAACACUAACACCGGCUCCAAGAUCACAUAAAGCCAUUUUAACAUAGUUUCUUUUAAUGGAGCAUGGUAUAGUUGGUACUCCUGGAAAUUUCAGCUUCCAGUUUCUUUCUUUUAUUUGUAACAAUUUCUUUCAUAUGUUUAGCAUAAGGAUUCAUUUUGAGCAUAUUAGUUAGUCGCAUACACAAAAAGAUAGGUCUAAUCAUUUCAGCAAAGCGCUCAAAAUCCUCAUCAUCCUUUUUCUUGGAUGGCUUAGGAGGAAAAGGCAUGGGUUUCUGAACCCAUGGUUCUCUUUCCUUACCGUGCUUCCUAGCAACAAAGUCUCUCUUAUCAUAAUGUUGAUUCUUUGAUUGUGGGUUAUCAAGAUCAACAACAGGUUCAAUCUCUACAUCAUUAUCAUUGCUAGGUUGAGCAUCAACAUGAACAUCAUCAUUAACAUUAUUACUAGGUUCAUGUUCAUUACCAGAUUGUGUUUCAGCAUCAGAAAUAGAAAUAUCAUUGGGAUUCUCAAGUGUGUCUACAACAGGUUCACUAGAAGCAUGCAAAGUCCUAUCAUUUUUCUUUUUCUUCCUUUUAGAAGGACUAGGUGCAUCAAUAUUAUUUCUCUGAGAAUAUUGCUCAAUACUCUUAGGAUGGCCCUGAGGAUACAAAGGUUCCUGAGUCAUUUUACCGCCUCUAGUCAUAACUCUAACAGCAUUAUCAUUUUUACUAUUCAAUUCAUUGAGCAAAUCAUUCUGAGCUUUAAGUACUUGUUCUACUUGAGUGGUAACCAUACAAGCAUGUUUACUAAUAAGUUUUAAUUCACCUUUAACAUUAGCCAUAUAAGCACUCAAGUGUUCAAUCAUAUAAGCAUUGUGUUUCAAUUCUCUACCAAAAUUGGCAUUGAAGAUUUCUUGCUUAACCAUAAAGUUAUCAAACUCAUCUAAGCAUUGGCUAGCAAACUUAGUAAGAGGAAUUUCAGCUUUAUCAUAUCUGUAGAGAGAAUUUACCUUUACUACCUGUGUCGGGUUAUCAAGGCCAUGUGUUUCUUCAAUAGGUGAGGGAUUAAAACCAUGUAUUUCUUCAACAGGCGGUAAAUUAAGACCAUGUAUUUCUUCAAUGGGAGGUAAAUUCUUAACAUCUUCAGCUUUAAUACCUUUCUCUUUCAUAGAUUUCUUUGCCUCUUGCAUAUCUUCAGGACUAAGAAAUAGAAUACCCCUUUUCUUUGGAGUUGGCUUAGGAGUUGGUUCAGGAAUUGGAUUAGGAAUUGGAUCAGGAAGUGUCCAAUUAUUUUCAUUAGUUAACAUAUUAUUCAAUAGAAUUUCAGCUUCAUCUGGUGUCCUUUCCCUGAAAACACAACCAGCACAACUAUCCAGGUGGUCUCUAGAAGCAUCGGUUAGUCCAUUAUAAAAGAUAUCAAGUAUUUCAUUUUUCUUAAGAGGAUGAUCAGGCAAAGCAUUAAGUAAUUGGAGAAGCCUCCCCCAAGCUUGUGGGAGACUCUCUUCUUCAAUUUGCACAAAAUUAUAUAUUUCCCUUAAAGCAACUUGUUUCUUAUGAGCAGGGAAAUAUUUAGCAGAGAAGUAAUAAAUCAUAUCCUGGGGACUACGCACACAACCAGGAUCAAGAGAAUUGAACCAUAUCUUAGCAUCACCCUUUAAUGAGAACGGAAAUAAUUUAAGGAUAUAAUAAUUGCGAGUUUUCUCAUCAUUAGUGAACAGGGUAGCUAUAUCAUUUAAUUUAGUAAGAUGUGCCACAACAGUUUCAGAUUCAUAACCAUAGAAAGGAUCAGAUUCAACCAAAGUAAUUAUAUCAGGGUCGACAGAGAAUUCAUAAUCCUUAUCAGUAACAAAGAUAGGUGAAGUAGCAUAAGCAGGAUCAUAUUUCAUUCUAGCAUUCAGAGUUUUUUGUUCCAGCUUAGCUAAUAGUUUCUUAAGAUCACUCCUAUCAUUGCAAGCAAGAAAAUCUCUAGCAGUUUCUUCAUCCAUAACAUAGCCCUCAGGAACAACAGGCAAUUCAUAUCUAGGGGGAGAAUCGUCAUCAUCACUUUCAUCAAUAUUAUCAAUUUUAAUAAUUUCAUUCUCUCUAGCCCUAGCAUUUGUUCAUCAAGAAAUUCACCAAGUGGCACAGUAGUAUCAAGCAUAAAAGUAGUUUCAUCAUAAGUAUCAUGCAUAGUAGAAGUGGCAUCAUCAAUAACAUGCGACAUAUCAGAAUUAAUAGCAGAAGCAGGUUUAGGUGUCGCAAGCUUACUCAAAACAGAAGGUGAAUCAAGUGCAGAGCUAGAUGGCAGUUACUUACCUCCCCUCAUAGUUGAGGGAUAAAUCUUUGUUCUUGGAUCUUUUAAGUUCUUCAUAAUGAUAAGCAGAUAUAAAUCCCAAGUGACUCAAAGAAUAGAGCUAUGCUCCCCGGCAACGGUGCCAGAAAAUAGUCUUGAUAACCCACAAGUAUAGGGGAUCACAACAGUUUUCGAGGGUAGAGUAUUCAACCCAAAUUUAUUGAUUCGAAACAAGGGGAGACAAAGAAUAUUCUCAAGUAUUAGCAGCUGAGUUGUCAAUUCAACCACACCUGGAAACUUAAUAUCUACAACAAGGUAUUUAGUAGAAAAUUAAUAUGAUAGUAGUAGUAACGAUAGCAGAAGUAACAAUAGUAAAAGUAAUAUUUUUGGUGUUUUGUAGUGAUGAUAACAAUAGCAACGAAAAAGUAAAUAAGCAAGGAACAAUAUAUGGAAAGCUCGUAGGAAUUGGAUCGGUGAUGGAGAAUUAUGCUGGAUGCGGUUCAUCAUGUAACAGUCAUAACCUAGGGUGACACAGAACUAGCUCCAGUUCAUCAAUGUAAUGUAGGCAUGUAUUCCGAAUAUAGUCAUACGUGCUUAUGGAAAAGAACUUGCUUGACAUCUUUUGUCCUACCCUCCCGUGGCAGCAGGGUCCUAUUGGAAACUAAGGGAUAUUAAGGCCUCCUUUUAAUAGAGUACCGGAACAAAGCAUUAACACAUAGUGAAUACAUGAACUCCUCAAACUACGGUCAUCACCGGUAAGUAUCCUGAUUAUUGUCACUUUGGGGUUAACUGAUCAUAACACAUAAUAGGUGACUAUAGAGUGCUACCUCUUGAGCACUGCGUUGGUUUUUCUCCGAAGAGGAAGGGAUGAUGCAGCAGAAUAGCGUAAGUAUUUCCCUCAGUUUUUGAGAACCAAGGUAUCAAUCCAGUAGGAGGCUCCGCAUGAGUCCCUCGUACCUGCACAAAACAAAUAAAUCCUCGCAACCAACACGAUAAGGGGUUGUCAAUCCCUACACGGCCACUUACGAGAGUGAGAUCUGAUAGAUAUGAUAAGAUAAUAUUUUUGGUAUUUUUAUGAUAAAGAUGCAAAGUAAAAUAAAAGCAAAGUAAAUAACUAAGUAUUGGAAGAUUAAUAUGAUGGAGAUAGACCCAGGGGCCAUAGGUUUCACUAGUGGCUUCUCUCAAGAGCAUAAGUAUUCUACGGUGGGUGAACGAAUUACUAUUGAGCAAUUCACAGAAUUGAGCAUAGUUAUGAGAAUAUCUAGGCAUGAUCAUGUAUAUAGGCAUCACGUCCGAGACAAGUAGACCGACUCCUGCCUGCAUCUACUACUAUUACUCCACUCAUCGACCGCUAUCCAGCAUGCAUCUAGAGUAUUAAGUUAAUGAAAACAGAGUAACGCCUUAAGCAAGAUGACAGGAUGUAGAGGGAUAAACUCAUGCAAUAUGAUGAAAAUCCCAUCUUGUUAUCCUCGAUGGCAACAAUACAAUACGUGCCUUGCUGCCCCUACUGUCACUGGGAAAGGACACCGCAAGAUUGAACCCAAAGCUAAGCACUUCUCCCAUUGCAAGAAAGAUCAAUCUAAUAGGCCAAACCAAACUGAUAAUUCGAAGAGACUUGCAAAGAUAACCAAUCAUACAUAAAAGAAUUCAGAGAAGAUUCAAAUAUUGUUCAUAGAUAGACUUGAUCAUAAACCCACAAUUCAUCGGUCUCAACAAACACACUGCAAAAAGAAGAUUACAUCGAAUAGUUCUCCACAAGAGAGGGGGAGAACAUUGUAUUGAGAUCCAAAAAGAGAGAAGAAGCCAUCUAGCUAAUAACUAUGGACCCGUAGGUCUGAGGUAAACUACUCACACUUCAUCGGAGGGGCUAUGGUGAUGAUGUAGAAGCCCUCCGUGAACGAUGCCCCCUCUGGCGGAGCUCCGGAACAGGCCCCAAGAUGGGAUCUCAUGGAUACAGAAAGUUGCGGCGGUGAAAUUAGGGUUUUGGCUCUGUAUCUGAUCGUUUGGGGGUACGUAGGUAUAUGUAGGAGGAAGGAGUACGUCAGUGGAGCAACAGGGGGCCCACGAGGGUGGAGGGCGCGCUUGGGGGUAGGCGCGCCCCCUACCUCGUGGCCUCCUCUUUUGUGUCUUGACGUAGGGUCCAAGUCUCCUAGGUCUUGUUCGUUGAGAAAAUCACGUUCCCGAAGGUUUCAUUCCAUUUGGACUCCCUUUGAUAUUCCUUUUCUUUCGAAACCCUAAAAUAGGUAAAAAAACAGCAAUUCUGGGCUGGGCCUCCGGUUAAUAGGUUAGUCCCAAAAAUAAUACAAAAGUGGAUAAUAAAGCACAAUAAUGUCCAAAACAGUAGAUAAUAUAGCAUGGAGCAAUCAAAAAUUAUAGAUACGUUGGAGACGUAUCAAGUAUCCCCAAGCUUAAUUCCUACUCGUCCUCGAGUAGGUAAAUGAUAAAAACAGAAUUUUUGAUGCGGAGUGCUACUUGUCAUAAUUUUAAUGUAAGUCUUCUUAAUUGUGGUAUGAAUAUUCAGAUCCGGAAUAUUCAAGAUAAAAGUUCAUAUUGACGUAAAAAUAAUAAUACUUCAAGCAUACUAACUAAGCAAUUAUGUCUUCUCAAAAUAACAUGGCCAAAGAAAGUUAUCACUACAAAAUCAUAUAGUCUGGCUAUGCUCUAUCUUCACCACACAAAGUAUUUAAAUCAGGCACAACCCCGAUGACAAGCCAAGCAAUUGUUUCAUACUUUUGACAUUCUCAAAACUUUUUCAAUCUUCACGCAAUACAUGAGCGUGAGCCAUGGAUAUAGCACUAUAGGUGGAAUAGAAUGGUGGUUGUGGAGAAGACAAAAAGGGGGAAGAUAGUCUCACAUCAACUAGGCGUAUCAAUGGGCUAUGGAGAUGCCCAUCAAUAGAUAUCAAUGUGAGUGAGUAGGGAUUGCCAUGCAACGGAUGCACUAGAGCUAUAAGUAUAUGAAAGCUCAACAAAAGAACUAAGUGGGUGUGCAUCCAACUCGCUUGCUCACGAAGACCUAGGGCAAUUUGAGGAAGCCAUCAUUGGAAUAUACAAGCCAAGUUCUAUAAUGAAAAAUUCCCACUAGUAUAUGGAAGUGAUGAAAUGAGAGACUCUCUACUAUGAAUAUCAUGGUGCUACUUUGAAGCACAAGUGUGGUAAAGGAUAGUAGCAUUGCCCCUUCUCUCUUUUUCUCUCAGUUUUUUAUAUUUGGGCCUUUUCUCUUUUUUUAUGGCCUCUUAUCUUCCUUUUUUUCGUCCGGAGUCUCAACCCGACUUGUGGGGGAAUCGUAGUCUCCAUCAUCCUUUCCUCACUUGGGACAAUGCUCUAAUAAUGAUGAUCAUCACACUUUUAUUUUCUUACAACUCAACAAUUACAACUUGAUACUUAGAGACUCUAUACGAAUGCCUCCGGCGGUGUACCGGGAUAUGCAAUGACUUAUGAGUGACAUGUAUGAAAGAAUUAUGAACGGUGGCUUUGCCACAAAUACGAUGUCAACUACAUGAUCAUGCUAAGCAAUAUGACAAUGAUGGAGUGUGUCAUAAUAAACGGAACGGUGGAAAGUUGCAUGGCAAUAUAUCUCGGAAUGGCUAUGGAAAUGCCAUAAUAGGUAGGUAUGGUGGCUGUUUUGAGGACGGUAUAUGGUGGGUGUAUGAUACCGGCGAAAGGUGCGCGGUAUUAGAGAGGCUAGCAAUGGUGGAAGGGUGAGAGUGCGUAUAAUCCAUGGACUCAACAUUAGUCAUAAAGAACUCAUAUACUUAUUGCAAAAAUCUAUAAGUUAUCAAAGCAAAGUAUUACGCGCAUGCUCCUAGGGGGAUAGAUUGGUAGGAAAAGACCAUUGCUCGUCCCCGACCGCCACUCAUAAGGAAGACAAUCAAUAAAUAAAUCAUGCUCCGACUUCAUCACAUAACGGUUCACCAUACGUGCAUGCUACGGGAAUCACAAACUUUAACACAAGUAUUUCUCAAAUUCACAACUACUCAACUAGCACAACUUUAAUAUCACCAUCUUCAUAUCUCAAAACAAUUAUCAAGCAUCAAACUUCUCAUAGUAUUCAACACACUCAUAAGAAAUUUUUAUUAUUAUUAUUGAGUACCAAGCAUAUUAGGAUUAUUUAAGCAAAUUACCAUGCUAUUUAAGACUCUUAAAAUAAUCUAAGUGGAGCAUGAGAGAUCAAUAGUUUCUAUAAAACAAAUCCACCACUGAGGGAGUCCUGGAUUAGGGGCUCUCUGGACAGCCGGAUUAUAUCCUUUGGCCGGACUGUUGGACUAUGAAGAUACAAGAUUGAAGACUUCGACUCGUGUUCGGAUGGGACUCUACUUGGUGUGGAAUGCAAGCUUAGGCAAUACGGAUAUGUAUAUCUCCUCCUUUGUAACUGACCUUGUGUAACCCUAGCCCCCUCCGGUGUCUAUAUAAACCGGAGGGUUUUAGUCCGUAGGACAAUAUACAAUCAUACCACAGGCUAGCUUCUAGGGUUUAGCCUCUCCGAUCUCGUGGUAGAUCAACUCUUGUAAUACCCAUAUCAUCAAGAAUAAAUCAGGCAAGAUGUAGGGUUUUACCUCCAUCAAGAGGGCCCGAACCUGGGUAAAACAUCGUGUCCCCUGCCUCCUGUUACCAUCCGCCUUAGACGCAUAGUUCGGGACCCCCUACCCGAGAUCCGCUGGUUUUGACACCGACAUUGGUGCUUUCAUUGAGAGUUCCUCUGUGACGUCGCCGUAAGGAAGGAUGCCUCGCCUCGUUCUUAAAAGCAACAUUACCGCCGGGGGAGCUCUGGCUGUCGGCCAAACUCUCUGGCUAGGCAGUUUCGUCAUGACCGCCCGUUCGGCUGCUGCACUGACGAUGACUUCUUGGGUCAUCAAAAACAGCCUCCACGUCGGCUCGGAACUCGCCGAGCAGAUGGAUCCAAUGGAGUUCUCUUCCCUAAAUGAACAAUUGGAUCGCAUCGCCGCCUUGGGAGUCGCUACGAACUAUGAUCGGAUUGGGCUUAAACCCGAUCAAAGGGAGAUUAACUCUCCACCGGUCACCCAUCACGUUGUGGUGGUGGAGGAACAAUGCGGCAACUCUUCCUCUAUUUUGAGGACUAACUAUGUCCGGAUUCCUGAGCUCUCCAAGCCGGAUACCCGCUUACGGGAGGACAUCACCCAAGCCCUGAACCUAGAAUCAGGCAGCGGGCCAAAUUCAUCGGGUAACACUCCGGAACCCGAACUUCCAAGAUUGGAAACUCCUUGGCCCCUGGCUCUCAGAUCGGGUAGGGAUUCGGACUCAAAUCCGCCCACCCACCCAGACAUAAACGAUCUUUCCCACAUCAGGCAAGAGCCCCAUGAAACAAUACAUCAUUAUUGGGCCAGAUUCCUCCUUGUAUUGAACAAGGUUAAGGACUGUCGCGAGGAAGAUGCAGUCUCACUUUUCUGCAAUAAUUGCAUGGACAAGGGAAUCCUUAACGCCUUAAGUCGCCGUGACAUAUCACGCUUCGCUGACUUGGCGUCCAUAGUACGAAAGUACUGUGCGAUAGAAAGCGCUUGGAAAACCGAAACGAAAUUUUGGGAUAAUCCGGCUCUGAAUAUACACCCAGUCCGAAGUAAAAGGGUGCACUAUAAUAAGACACCCGAGCUAGUUGUAAAGAAACAAAAACCCUCUACAGGGCAUGGAACCAUACUGGAGGGAUGGCUCAACGGACCCUGCAAAAUUCAUAGUAUAGCGGAUACAAUACCAACGCACAUCCUUAGAGCAUGUUGGAUACUCCGGCAGGUGGCCAAAAGUGGUGAGGAUCUUCUUAUCCCAAAUACCACAGAGCACCAUCCCGUGGAUAACAAUACGGUGUCAAUAGUCUUUGAGACCUUCGCGUCAAAUAAUAGGCACAAGCGAACAAUCCACGGCAUGGCCGAAAUCUGCCAUGUAGCAGCAAUAAAUCCAUGGAGUAACACGGCUAUUACCUUCAAUGCCAGUGACGAACCUAAAUUAUGAACAGCCCGAGCACCAACCGCACUGGUCCUCUGUCCAAUCCUGGACGGCUUUCGACUCACCAAAGUACUCAUGGACGGCGGCAGCGGAUUAAACCUCAUCUAUGAGGAAACUCUUCAAAAGAUGGAAAUAGACUGGAACCGCAUCGAGCAAAGUAGCACAACCUUUAGAGGAAUUAUCCCCAGUCGGGAAGCACGCUGUGCUGGGAAAAUCACACUAGAUGUGGUAUUCGGCACGCCAGAUAAUUAUAGGUCUGAGAAAUUACAUUCCAAGUGGCCCCGUUCAGCAGUGGUUAUCACGCUCUUUUAGGACAGGAGGCGUUCACAAUCUUUCAAGCUGUACCCCAUUACGGGUACAUGAAGCUCAAAAUGCCGGGGCCCAACAGAAUCAUCACUCUCACUAGUGAUCCGGACACAACACUCCGCGCCGAAAACAAAACAGCCGCACUGGCCCUCGAGGCAUUAUCCGAAGCCCUCUCGGCCAAGGAAUUAACCAUGCUACGCUCUACAGUGGACAGGGACGACAUGAUACUCGACAAGAGAUCCAAGUCCACCUCUUUUAAACCAGCGGACGAAAUAGUCAAAUUCCAAGUCCACCCAAUGGACCCUACAAAAACAGCCUCCAUCGGGGCGCAGUUAAACCCCGCCCUAGACACCGCACUCCGGGAGUUCCUACGCGAGAAUUGGGACAUAUUUGCCUGGCAUCCCUCAGACAUGCCAGGAAUCCCACGCAGGCUGGCCGAGCAUAGCCUCAAUAUCCUAAAGGGAUUCAAGCCGGUCAAGCAAGCUCUUCGGCGUUUCUCCGAACCUAAGAGACAGGCCAUGGGAGAGGAACUAGCCAAGUUAUUGGAGGCCGGAUUUAUCAGAGAAAUAAAACACCCAGACUAGCUAGCAAACCUGGUGAUGGUACCAAAGAAGGAUAAAUCCUGGCGCCUUUGUGUCGAUUUCAAGGACGUCAAUAAAGCUUGCCCAAAGGGUCCCUUCCCACUCCCCCGCAUCGAUCAAAUUAUUGAUGCUACCGCAGGACACGAGUCAUUGUGUUUCCUCGACGCAUACUCCGGUUACCACCAAAUCAAGAUGGCGGAAUCCGACCAAGCCGCAACGGCAUUCAUCACACCAUACGGUCCCUUCUGUUUUAACACAAUUCCUUUUGGGCUCAAAAACGCCGGCGCAACAUAUCAGCGCAUGAUUUAGACAUGUCUGGAGAUACAAAUCGGCAAAACAGUAGAGGCAUACGUAGACGAUGUGGUUGUCAAAACCAAACACUUCGACUCUUUGAUAGACGACUUGAGGCUCACAUUCGACAACCUCCGAACAUACGACAUCAAGCUCAAUCUGGAAAAAUGCAUUUUCGGCGUACCAGCUGGAAAGAUCCUAGGUUUCAUUGUCUCCAGUAGAGGUAUUGAAGCUAAUCCGGCCAAAAUCCGAGCUUUGUCACAGUUGGCUACCCCAACAGACCUCAAACAAAUCCAGAAGUUAACUGGAUGCGUGGUGGCUCUAAGCCGCUUUAUCUCCCGCUUAGGAGAAAAGGCUUUACCCCUUUAUCGCCUCCUUCGGCGCACCGAACACUUCGAGUGGAAGGACGCGGCCACAGCCGCAUUGGAAGAAAUAAAGGCCAUCUUGGCAACCAACCCAAUCCUGGCCGCGCCAAACAUCGGCGAACCAAUGCUGUUGUACAUUGCGGCAACUCAUCAAGUUGUAAGCGCGGUGCUCGUUGUCGAACAAGAAGCGGACGGACAUAAAUUCGCCCUUCAAAAGCCGGUAUACUAUGUAUCCACUGUCCUCACUCCAUGAAAAUCAUGGUACCCACAUUAUCAAAAGAUAGAAUAUGCGGUAUUCAUGGCAUCACGGAAGCUGCAACACUACUUUCAAAAGUGCUCGAUUACAGUAGCCUCGGAAGUGCCACUUGAUGAUAUCAUAAACAACUGCAACGCUACGGGCCAGAUUGCCAAAUGGGCCAUUGAGCUCCUCCCGUUCGACAUAACAUACUAACCUCGACGAGCCAUUAAAUCGCAAGUAUUGGCCGACUUCGUUGCCGAAUGGACGGAGGCCGAACUCCCUAAAGAGUACGGUGCAUAUUCCAACUGGAUCAUGCACUUCGACGGUUCUAAAAUGCUGGCCGGUCUAGGGGCUGGCGUCGUCCUGGCGUCCCCAACCGGAGAUAUAGUUCAGUACGUACUGCAAAUAUUGUAUACAUACUCCAACAAUGCAGCCGAAUACGAAGCUCUGUUGCAUGGUCUUUGGAUGGCAGUCUCCAUGGGCAUUCAACGCCUGGAGGUGCGUGGGGAUUCAAAACUCGCAAUAUCCCAAAUAAAUGGAGACUUUGACGCCAAGGAUCCGAAAAUGGCGGCCUAUCGAAACGCCGUCCUAAAAAUGUCAGCUCGGAUCGAGGGGCUCGAAUUUCACCAUGUGGCUCGGGAAAACAAUCAGGCGGCGGAUAUCCUCGCCCGCAUCGGUGCAAAACACGAUGUGGUCCCCCCCAACAUAUCUUUGGAGAAGUUGUUCAAGCCAUCCGUAGUAUGGGAAGGGGACACUAAUAACAACAGUCCGGACCCGGCCAAAAUACCCGAUACCAAACUCUCUGACAGAAUCGGAGGCUCCGCCACCAAAACCACACCUUCAGCCCACGAAAUAAUGGCCAUUAUUGCCCUAUGGACAGAACCAUUCCUAGCCUACCUAACUAGACGGGAACUUUCGGAGGACCAAAAUGAGGCACGCUGCAUAGUCCGGCGAUCCAAGGCCUAUAGGGUCCAUGAGGGAGAAUUAUACAAAAAAAGCACUACCGGAGUCCUUCAAAGGUGCAUCUCCGAAGAGGAAGGGCGGAAUCUUUUGGCAGAAAUUCACGCCGGACUCGGCGGUCAUCACGCCGCAGCCCGGGCCCUUGUAAGCAAGGCCUUCCGUAUAGGAUUGUAUUGGCCAACGGCCCGGGCAGACGCACAGGACUUGGUCCAAUGUUGCGCCGGUUGCCAGCUCUUUGCAAAUCAAAGCCACAUGCCACCCACCGCCCUCCAAACAAUCCCCAUUACAUGGCCCUGUGCGGUCUGGGGGCUUGACAUGGUUGGACCCCUCAAAGGGGGAACCCACAAGAAAAAAUACUUACUGGUCAUGGUGGAUAAAUUCACCAAAUGGAUAGAGGCCAAACCUGUUAAAACAGCCGAAUCCGGACCGGUGAUAGACUUCAUAUCCGGGGUCGUACACCGUUAUGGCGUCCCCCACAGCAUCAUCACUGACAACGGCACGAACUUCAUGGCCGAUGAGGUAAAACUCUGGUGCAGCAAAAUGGGCAUCAAGCUCGAUUAUGCUUCAGUCUAUCACCCACAAACCAACGGUCAAGUCGAGCGAGCAAAUGGUCUUAUAAUGGGCAGCAUUAAACCCAGAUUAGUGUGUUCCUUAACGGACUCUAACACGCACUGGGUAGAGGAGCUUGACUCCGUACUCUGGGGGCUGCGGACCACGCCGAAUCGUAGUACCGGAUAUACACCCUUCUUUAUGGUGUACGGUGCAGAGGCAGUCUUGCCCUGUGACAUAAUUCAUGACUCACCUCGAGUGCGCAUGUACGAAGAAAGAGAAGCCGAGCUCGAUCGGCAUGACAGUCUGGAUACCCUGGAGGAGGAGCGCGACGUAGCCAAAGCCUGUUCCGCAUUUUAUCAGCAACAGGCUCGCAGAUACCAAAGCAGAGAAGUAUGGGCCAAAACUUAUAACGUUGGUGAAGUAGUUCUACACCUGCUGGAUAAGAAAAAGAACAAUCUCGAGCCCAACUGGGAAGGUCCCUUCAUUAUUGACCAAGUUCUGACCGGUGGAGCGUACCGACUGCGGGAUGCAUCGACUAGUCGACUCGAGCCGAACCAAUGGAACGUGGCUAGGCUCCGAAGAUUCUACGCCUAGCUCCGAACUCUAUCUUCGUCCCCUCCCUUUGUCCAUUUUUUGCAUAUACAUUAUCUGUCUUGUUUUUCUUUCUUUCUUUUAUACUUUCUCUAGGCCUUCUAGGGCCAACUUGUGCCUCGCUUGCACAUUAUAGAUGCGCUAGCCGCGCUCAUCAUACCUGGGGGCUUCUUUCACAGAAGCUUAAUUAUUUAUCUGGGCCUCAGGCCCCGCGCAUGUGUCAUGCUUCCGCAUGUACCUUUUUUUGCCAUUAUAUGCAUCGAUAUGACUUAAGUUUUGGCCAAGCUGGGUUGCCUGGCUCUUGUAUUUAUGCCCUAUGUUCCCGUUAAUUCGGCUAGGGCAUAAGGGGAGCACCUCUGCGAUUGUUACUGCCGGGUCAGCCAGAUGUGUGCCUCGGACUGGGUGAAGCCGAAAGCUAGCGUUCUUAAGGGAAUAUUCGGUCGGUGAACAAAAGAUGAUUUUUAUUUAUUGUCCAUAUCUGUGCCCAGAUGUUUUUCCUGCGUUUUCUAUUGUAAUCCGGACAUGCACUUUAGGGCAUGCUUACCCAGGGAAAUGAACCCUUAACGGAACUAUUCUCCCUGGAAGAUGUUUCUUACCACCCAUGUAAUAUAACAUAACUAGUUGGGCACUUGUCUGUUCAAGCACUAAUGACCCCUACGCCUGGUCUCCACGCAUACCCCGGUUCUUAUAUAACUGAGCGGGUAUUCGGAUACACUCCGGACUAUCGGGUCCCAAGGUUGAAGCGAAAAGGUCCGCCAAGACAAAUGAUCUACAAUCCGGCUAGAAGGCAUUAUACAUGUCACUUUCAUUACAUAGUCAUGCAGACUAACUAAAUUCCUCUUCUAUACCAUCCAACAGGCGGUCUAGCUUACAAUCCUGUUGGGAAUACUUUGCGGCUAAUUCUACUUGCCCAUAAACUAAGCUAACGGGGAUCUUUUUUCCGUCGAGCCCCAUAGGUCUGACCUUGGCCAUGUGAUUUGGGUCUGCCUUGGUAUACCGCGUCUUCACCAUGGCCCAGGCUUCUCUGGCACCCUGUCGGCAGGUCGAUAUCUUCCAUAAUCGGAAGCGCCGCCGUGCUCCCUUGAGCUUCUCUGUAAGCUCUGCAACGCCAUUUGGCAGGGAGACGGAUGGCCACAAGUCCUGGGCAACACCUUGCAUCACCUGCCGAACUUGUUCGUGCAGAUGUGACAGCUCGGAUAGAAGAUCACCCGCAGACCCGGGCAUUUCCUCCGCGGGACGACCCGUCAGCAUACCUACAGACAUAACGCUGUUAGUCGGCUUCUUCGCCGGACUCCUUUAAAAGGAUUCGUUCAAGCACUUACUGAAAAUGCCGCGCCAAAGCCGCUUAUUCUCCUUCUCGGAGUCUGCAAGCUGGCCCCAAACGUCUUUUAGUUCCACGCUCAGCUUAAUAUUGGCGUCUUGGAGAUUGUUUUUCUCCCGCCUAACCUCAGUCAGCACGCGUUUGCCAGCCUCUAACUGUCGCAUAACAUGUUGGUCCUCCGAAUUUUCUCCGGAUUCAUCUACAACAUCUAUUGUUAGAUCUGUAGCCAUGCCGCACAUUAUAUGGUAACCAUCAUGCUUUAAAGUAAAUGUUACCAGCAGGUGACUUUUUCGGUUCCUGCAAUGCGACCACAGCAGCCCGCAGUUGGGUCUUGCAUUCCUCUAGCUCCUGUGUUAGCCUAGUAUUCUUCUCUGUAAGAACCUGCACAAUAAAGAUGAUCCUUAAAUCAGUUCUGCUAACUGUUUCAAGUCUCAGGGGCUAGUGAUACAUAUAAAUCGUCAGAUUUACUCACCCGUACAUCCUUUACAUACUGAUCCGUGGCUCUGGCUAGACCAUCUUGAGCAGCACGGAGGUACGCCUCUCCAGAAUUGAAGGCGUCAAAUGCCUCUGGUGCGAAACAAGCGUCACGGAGUACGGCCCGGCGGUGCCUAUGAUUCAUGGCGGUUUCCACUUCUGAGUUUGUAGCGGAUAAUCUAUCUGCAUCCUCUGUAGGGGGGUUAUCCGGCGUCUGCCCCAUAUCGGCUUCUGCCUCCAUGUCCGGUCCUGGCGCCCGACUGGUGGAAGCGUGAUUGGCAACAUCGCCGGACAUAUUCCGGCGAGUGUUUUUUCUGUUAAAGAAACGCGGGCAUCAUUACAUUUUGAGAAAGACGACAACCAUGGAGCGGGGUUUUUCUUAUACCUUUGCGCCAGCGUCUCCGUCCUGACCGCCUUCAUUUUUGGCCUACCUGGCCUCGGUGCCUCUUGUUGGCGAGUUGCUGCGGGUUCGGCAGGGCAUCCCGAAUGCCUUCCCUAUAAAAGAUGCCAUGUGUAUAUGGUGGGUGAAGUGCCUAAAAGGGGAUCCUAGUUUUGGAGUUGGGAUUUUUGGUUUUUCUUACUUGCGAUGCAGGGAGCAGUCCGGGAUAGUCAGCCGUAAUGGCCACCAUGGCAUCGUCGCAGCUUAACUGAUAGAACUGCCGGUCUAUCAGCUCCAUGAAUAUAACCGAAUCUUUUUCAAGUCCGGAGUCGAGGGCCCGGUCAGGGUCCUCUCGUUGUGGAGAAGGGCUGCUGACCUCCUUUAUGGCUUUUCGCAGUUCCUGCCGCAAAGUGGCAAGGUGAAUACUCACGACAAAUAAUGCGGGAAAAAUGGGAGCAGGGAGAUAUAACUUACCCAGCUUGGAGGAUUGUACAUGGAGAAUCCAUACCGUGGCUUGAUGCGAGUGAACUCCUCUUCCUCACCCUUGAACAGUUCAGACAGAAUUUUCGCUAAAGCGGCAGCAUUGUCCGGACCCUUACGCCCGUAGCAGGUGGCGUCAUCCGCCCCGUUGUAACACCACAAUGGGUGCCCACGGUAUUGAAGUGGUUGCACUCCCUGUUGGAAAUAUGCCCUAGAGGCAAUAAUAAAUUAGUUAUUAUUAUAUUUCCUUGUUCAUGAUAAUCGUUUAUUAUCCAUGCUAGAAUUGUAUUGAUAGGAAACUCAGAUACAUGUGUGGAUACAUAGACAACACCAUGUCCCUAGUAAGCCUCUAGUUGACUAGCUCGUUGAUCAAUAGAUGGUUACGGUUUCCUGACCAUGGACAUUGGAUGUCAUUGAUAACGGGAUCACAUCAUUGGGAGAAUGAUGUGAUGGACAAGACCCAAUCCUAAGCCUAGCACAAGAUCAUGUAGUUCGUAUGCUAAAGCUUUUCUAAUGUCAAGUAUCAUUUCCUUAGACCAUGAGAUUGUGCAACUCCCGGAUACCGUAGGAGUACUUUGGGUGUGCCAAACGUCACAACGUAACUGGGUGGCUAUAAAGUUACACUACAGCUAUCUCCGAAAGUGUCUGUUGGGUUGGCACGAAUCGAGACUGGGAUUUGUCACUCCGUGUAAACAGAGAGGUAUCUCUGGGCCCACUCGGUAGGACAUCAUCAUAAUGUGCACAAUGUGAUCAAGGAAUUGACCGCGGGAUGAUGUGUUACGAAACGAGUAAAGAGACUUGCCGGUAACGAGAUUGAACAAGGUAUCGAGAUACCGACGAUCGAAUCUCGGGCAAGUAUCGUACCGCUAGACAAAGGGAAUUGUAUACGGGAUUGAUUAAGUCCUUGACAUCGUGGUUCAUCCGAUGAGAUCAUCGUGGAACAUGUGGGAGCCAACAUGGGUAUCCAGAUCCCGCUGUUGGUUAUUGACCGGAGAGUCAUCUCGGUCAUGUCUGCAUGUCUCCCGAACCCGUAGGGUCUACACACUUAAGGUUCGGUGACGCUAGGGUUAUAGAGAUAUUAGUAUGCGGUAACCUGAAAGUUGUUUGGAGUCCCGGAUGAGAUCCCGGACGUCACGAGGAGUUCCGUAAUGGUCUGGAGGUAAAGAAUUAUAUAUAGGAAUUGCUAUUUCGGCCAUCGGGACAAGUUUCGGGGUCACCGGUAUUGUACCGGGACCACCGGAAGGGUCCCGGGGGUCCACCGGAUGGGGCCACCUGCCCUGGGGGGCCACAUGGGCUGUAGGGGGUGCGCCUUGGCCUAUAUGGGCCAAGGGCACCAGCCCCUAGAGGCCCAUGCGCCAAAGGGACAAGAGGAGGGGAGAGUCCUAAAAGGGGAAGGCACCUCCAAGGUGCCUUGGGGAGGAUGGACUCCUCCCCCCUUUGGUCGCACCCUUCCUUGGAGGAAGGGUCAAGGCUGCGCCCUCCCCCUCUCCCUUGGCCCUAUAUAUAGUGGAGGAAGGGAGGGCAACCAAACCUAAGCCCUGGCGCCUCCCUCUCCCUCCCAUGACACAUCUCCCUCCUCCCGCAGCGCUUGGCGAAGCCCUGUUGGAAUCCCGCUACUUCCACCACCACGCCGUCGUGCUGUUGGAUCUCCAUCAACCUCUCCUACCCCUUGCUGGAUCAAGAAGGAGGAGACGUCACUGCUCCGUACGUGUGUUGAACGCGGAGGUGCCAUCCGUUCGGCGCUAGGAUCAUCGGUGAUUUGGAUCACGACGAGUACGACUCCAUCAACCCCGUUCUCUUGAACGCUUCCGCGUGCGAUCUACAAGGGUAUGUAGAUCCACUCCUCCCUCGUUGCUAGAUGACUCCAUAGAUAGAUCUUGGUGACACGUAGGAAAAUUUUGAAUUUAUGCUACGUUCCCCAACACUCCCCGCAUUAUGCAAAUCGACAUAACUUCGAUUAUUGUCAAUCCUGAUUGAGCCAGUGCUUUGAUCCGGUUCAUCAGAUAGAGGACUUCUCUGUUGUCUUCCGCCUGGGGGCUCCGUGGGCUCCAACUUCAGCGCUUCUUCAGAGGAGCAUUGUUGAACUCAGGAAGACCCCGCCGAACAGGGUCCGGAAGGGGAACGUCCUCCAUAUAAAACCAUUCUGAAGGCCAGUCUUCACGCGACUUCUUAGGGGUACCGGACAGGUAUCUGGUAUCGGCGAUGCGCCAUAUCUCGGCUCCACCCACUUGAUAAAGUGAUCUCCUCUGUAUGCGAGGGGCGAGGCAAAAUAGCCUUUUCCACAGCUCGAAGUGAGCCUCACAGCCCAGGAACAACUCGCAGAGAGCAACAUAGCCAGCGAUAUGUAGAAUGGAGGCAGGGGUGAGAUUGUGUAAUUGGAGGCCGUAGAGCUCCAGGAGCCCGCGGAGGAACGGAUGAAUUGGAAAUCCGAAUCCCCUUAGUAAAUAAGGAACAAGGCAGACCCGUUCCCCCAUGGAGGGAUAGGGAAAGCUCUCCGCUUGCUCCCCGCCAUUGUAGGUGGCGAGCCCGGCUCGAACGGGCACCAUAUACGCCGGAGGGAGAAAUCCCUUAGUCUGCAGUUCAACUAAUCGACUGUGCGGGACUGAACACCUCUCCCAAUCACCGAGCUUAUGGCUACAGGGCGGGAGGAGGAGCUGCGGAGGUCGGCCAUGCUGGAAUGGAUCUUUCCGGAACGCGCUCUGAUGGAUUCUCGCUGGGGGAGGAUGGUAUGGAUCGGAUCUAAGAAUCCCCAUCCCUUUAAUAGACAAUUUAUUUAUCUGGCUAGGGGGGCGAAUGUAAAAACACCUUGGCGCCUCGUAUUCAUUCGACGCAUGGGAGAAAGCCCUUCUUGGGCAUAGAAGCCAAGAGGUUCAAACGUUUAUGGAGCCGGACACUGCUUACGAACACUUGAAAAUUGAAGAAGAACCCGCCUUGCAAUGCCGAAGACAACACUGUGCACCGGACUCAUCGUCAUUGAAGCCUGGUUCAGGGGCUACUGAGGGAGUCCUAGAUUAGGGGGUCUCCGGAUAGCCGGAUUAUAUCCUUUGGCCGGACUAUUGGACUAUGAAGAUACAAGAUUGAAGACUUCAUCUCAUGUCCAGAUGGGACUCUACUUGGCGUGGAAGGCAAGCUUAGGCAAUACGGAUAUGUAUAUCUCCUCCUUUGUAACCGACCUUGUGUAACCCUAGCCCCCUCCUUUAGUCCGUAGGACAAGAUACAAUCAUACCAUAGGCUAGCUUCUAGGGUUUAGCCUCUCCGAUCUCGUGGUAGCUCAACUCUUGUAAUACCCAUAUCAUCAAGAAUAAAUCAAGCAGGACGUAGGGUUUUACCUCCAUCAAGAGGGCCCGAACCUGGGUAAAACAUCGUGUCCCCUACCGCCUGUUACCAUCUGCCUUAGACGCAUAGUUUGGGACCCCGUACCCGAGAUCAGCCUGUUUUGACAUCGACAACCACCAUGCUCUAAAAGAUAUAAGUGAAGUACUAGAGCAAAACUAUAUAACUCAAUUGAUAUAAGCGAAGCACAUAGAGUAUUCUAACAAAUUACAAAUCAUGUAUGGCUCUCUCAAAAGGUGUGUACAGCAAGGAUGAUUGUGGUAAACUAAAAAAAAUAAAGACUCAAAUAAUACAAGACGCUCCAAGCAAAACACAUAUCAUGUGGUGAAUAAAAUAUAGCUCCAAGUAAAGUUACCGAUAGAAGUAGACGAAAAGAGGGGAUGCCUUCCGGGGCAUCCCCAAGCUUCGCCUUUUAGGUGUCCUUAUAUUAUCUUGGGGGUGCCAUGGGCAUCCCCAAGCUUAGGCUCUUGCCACUCCUUGUUCCAUAAUCCAUCAAAUCUUUACCCAAAACUUGAAAACUUCACAACACAAAACUUGAAGUAGAAAAUCUCGUGAGCUCCGUUAGCGAAAGAAAACAAAAGACCACUUCAAGGUACUGUAAUGAACUCAUUAUUUGUUUAUAUUGGUGUUAAACCUACUGUCUUCCAACUUCUUUAUAGUUUAUAAACUAUUUUACUAGCCAUAGGUUCAUCAAAAUAAGCAAACAUCACACGAAAAACAGAAUCUGUCAAAAACAGAACAGUCUGUAGUAAUCUGUAGCUAGCGCAAGAUCUGGAACCCCAAAAAUUCUAAAAUAAAUUGCUGGAUGUGAGGAAUUUAUCUAUUAAUCAUCUGCGAAACAAAUUAACUAAAUAUCACUUUCCAAAUAAAAAUGUCAGCAGUUCUCAUGAGUGCUAAAGUUUCUGUUUUUUACAGCAAGAUAUCAAGACUUUCCCCAAGUCUUCCCAACGGUUCUACUUGGCACAAACACUAAUUAAACACAAAACACACAACCUAAAUAGAGGCUAGAUAAAUUAUUUAUUACUAAACAGGAGCAAAAAGCAAGGAAUAAAAAUAAAAUUGGGUUGCCUCCCAACAAGCGCUAUCGUUUAACGCCCCUAACUAGGCAUAAAAGGCAAGGAUAGAUCUAGGUAUCACCAUAAUAGUAAGAUAGAUCAUUAAAACUCAUUUCAUAUUCUCUAUGUUCAGCAGCAAGUUUUCUUUGAGGCAAGCAAAAGUAAUCAAAAGGGCUAAAUUUAAUGGGGGGAAAAUCCCCAAGAUCAACCUUGGGAGGUAUAGGUUCCUCCUUUGGUCCUUCGUAUUGCACAACCAAUUCAUCAUUAUAAGCAUUCUUUUGAGAGAACUUUGUGAGCCUAUAUUCAAGAGAAUAUCCUAGUUCAUUAUUGCGAAUGGCCAAAUCAUCAUUAAGCUUAGAAAUUCUAUCACCUAAAACAUUGGUAGGAACCCUUUUUCUAAGAUUUUCAUUGAAAGCAACAUAGUCUAGAGAUUGAAAACGCAUUAUUUCUUCUUGAUCAAAAAGGAUAGCCUCUAUGGGAGGACGGCAAGCAUCUACCCUAUAAUGCGCAAAGAUUUCUUUGGCUUCUCUUAUUAUGAAUCUAAACUCAUGAGCCAAAAAGAUAGUAGCGGCACGCUUAACAGAAGAAUGCUCAAUAUUAGAAAAUUCUAGGAAAAUCCUUUGAAUGCAAGGAUGCAAGUGCAUGAAUUGUAUUUCAAGUUCAACUACAAGCAUGGCAAUAGCAUCCGCAAGACUACUAGUUCUAUGAAGGAUAGAACUACCCAUAGAAGGUAAAGCACCGGCACAAGUAAAGAAAUCUUGAAUAACUCCUUUUCCAAUAAUAUUACCACUACCAACACGGGAUUUUUUUUUGUAUGUAAGAUGGGGGUUCUUUAGCAGGAGCAUCAGAAUUUUUCAUUACAUUAUUAUUGUCCAUAUCGACAAUAAUUUCCCCUAUUUCAGACAUAAUGGCAGAAAGUGCAAAGGGCAAAAAAAGGCAAAUGGGAAAAGAGAGGGAGGAUAGAGAGAGAGAGGGCGAAUAAAACGGCAAGGGUGAAGUGGGGGAGAGGAAAACGAGAGGUAAAUGGAAAAUAAUGUAAUGCGGGAGAUAGGGAUUGUGAUGGGUACUUGGUAUAUUGACUUUUGCGUAGACUCCCCGGCAAUGGCAACAGAAAUCCUUCUUGUUACCUCUUGAGCACUGCGUUGGUUUUUCCCAGAAGAGGAAGGGAUGAUGCAGCAGAGUAGUGUAAGUAUUUCCCUCAGUUUUUGAGAAGUAAGGUAUCAAUCCAGUAGGAGGCUACGCGCGAGUCCCUCGUACCUGCACAAAACAAAUAAAUCCUUGCAACCAACGUGAUAAGGGGUUGUCAAUCCCUACACGGCCACUUACGAGAGUGAGAUCUGAUAGAUAUGAUAAGAUAAUAUUUUUGGUAUUUUUAUGAUAAAGAUGCAAAGCAAAAUAAAAGCAAAGUUAAAAAGCAAAGUAAAUAACUAAGUAUUGGCAGAUUAAUAUGAUGAAGAUAGACCCGGGGGCCAUAGGUUUCACUAGUGGCUUCUCUCAAGAGCAUAAGUAUUCUACGGUGGAUGGACGAAUUACUGUUGAGCAAUUGAUAGAAUUGAGCAUAGUUAUGAGAAUAUCUAGGCAUGAUCAUGUAUAUAGGCAUCACGUCCGAGACAAGUAGACCGACUCCUACCUGCAUCUACUACUAUUACUCCACUGAUUGACCGCUAUCCAGCAUGCAUCGAGAGUAUUAAGUUAAUGAAAAUAGAGUAACGCCUUAAGCAAGAUGACAUGAUGUAGAGGGAUAAACUCAUGCAAUAUGAUGAAAACCCCAUCUUGUUAUCCUCGAUGGCAACAAUACAAUACGUGCCUUGCUGUCCCUACUGUCACUGGGAAAGGACACCGAAACGUUGAACCCAAAGCUAAGCACUUCUCCCAUGGCAAGAAAGAUCAAUCUAGUAGGCCAAACCAAACUGAUAAUUCGAAGAGACUUGCAAAGAUAACCAAUCAUACAUAAAAGAAUUCAGAGAAGAUUCAAAUAUUGGUCAUAGAUAGACUAGAUCAUAAACCCACAAUUCAUCGAUCUCAACAAACACACCGCAAAAAGAAGAUUACAUCGAAUAGUUCUCCACAAGAGAGGGGGAGAACAUUGUAUUGAGAUCCAAAAAGAGAGAAGAAGCCAUCUAGAUAAUAACUAUGGACCCGUAGGUCUGAGGUAAACUACUCACACUUCGUCGGAGGGGCUAUGGUGAUGAUGUAGAAGCCCUCUGUGAUCGAUGCCCCCUCCGGCGGAGCUCCGAAAUAGGCCCCAAGAUGGGAUCUCGUGGAUACAGAAAGUUGUGGCGGUGGAAUUAGGUUUUUGGCUCCGUAUCUGAUCGUUUGGGGGUACGUAGGUAUAUAUAGGAGGAAGGAGUACGUCAAUGGAGCAACAGGGGGCCAUGAGGGUGGAGGGCGCACCUGGGGAGAGGGGGGUAGGCGUGCCCCCCUACCUCGUGGCCUCCUCUUUUGUGUCUUGACGUAGGGUCCAAGUCUCCUGGGUCUUGUUCGUUGAGAAAAUCACGUUCCCGAAGGUUUCAUUCCGUUUGGACUCCGUUUGAUAUUCCUUUUCUUCAAAACCCUAAAAUAGGCAAAAAAAACAGCAAUUCUGGGCUGGGCCUCCGGCUAAUAGGUUAGUCCCAAAAAUAAUUUAAAAGUGGAUAAUAAAGCACAAGAAUGUCCAAAACAGUAAAUAAUAUAGCAUGGAGCAAUCAAAAAUUAUAGAUACGUUGGAGACAUAUCAUAGACUUGCAAGAUAGGAUCCAGAACUCUCUUAUAUUGAUGAAAACAUAAUAGGUUCAGAUCUGAAAUCAUGGCACUCAGGCCCUAGUGACAAGCAUUAAGCAUAGCAAAGUCAUAGCAACAUCAAUCUCAGAACAUAGUGGAUACUAGGGAUCAAAGCCUAACAAAACUAACUCGGUUACAUGAUAAAUCUCAUCCAACCCAUCACCGUCCAGCAAGCCUACGAUGGAAUUAUUCACGCACGGCGGUGAGCAUCAUGAAAUUGGUGAUGGAGGAAGGUUGAUGAUGACGAUGGCGACGGAUUCCCCUCUCUGGAGCCCCGAACGGAGAGUUUAGGGCUUGGCGGCGGCUUCGUAUCGUAAAACAUAAUGAAUCCUUCUUUCUGAGUUUUUUCUUCCCGAAAGUGAAUAUAUGGAGUCAAGGUUGAGGUCGGUGGAGCGUCAGGGGGCCCACGAGGCAGGGGGCGCGCCCCCCACCCUCGUGGACAGGUGGAGGCCCCCCUGACGUGGAUUUUCCUUCCAGUAUUUAUUAUAUAUUCCAAAAAUAAUUCUCCGUUGAUUUUCAGGUCAUUCCUAGAACUUUUAUUUCUGCACAAAAAUAACACCAUGGCAAUUCUGCUGAAAACAGCGUUAGGCUGGGUUAGUUUCAUUCAAAUCAUGCAAGUUAGAGUCCAAAAUAAGAGCAAAAGUGUUUGGGAAAAUAGAUACGACGAAGACGUAUCAGUAAGCGGCUUGAUGUAUCUACUGCAGAUCGACGGAGAUGCACGACUUGCUGCUGAAGCGAGCCGAAACCACGGCGGCCCGUGGUGAUCUGGCAGAGGCAGGUCAAGGCGGAAACUGGGCCGGACUGUGGACGAUGCAAGCAACCUGGAGGCGGGUCACAACCGGCGAGGUUGGAACAGAGCGACCGCAGCAAGUGAAGCACAGGGGGCGGGUCAACUCGGAGUGAUGGCUCAACGCGGAUAUCGGCGAAAAGGUCAGGCAGAAAACACCAAAUCUCGGCGGGUCACCGCGGGAACCUCCAAUGUUGCGGGCACUUGACUCGGGCGCGCGGAAGAGCAGCGCGGCGGCCCGCGGCACGGCGAUUCGUAGCGCAGGAGGGCUCUGAGCGGCAAAUCGAUGACUCCUUAUGAGGCCGGGGGUAACAAGCCCAGUGGAUGGCAGAUUGCCGAUGGCGAUGAGGCAGAGGUGAAGUCGCACAUGGCGGGGCCGGCGGUUUGGCAGGGACUGCAGCAGUUUGUGGAGGCCCGCGCUUGACGGUUUAGAGGCAAAUCCAGGCGCGGCUCAGCACGGAGAUGACCGAGGAUCCCGGUUCGUCAGCGGCGGCUCGGUGUCUUAACAUGGAGAGGCUUCAAGGCAGGGGCGCGCCCGUAGGGUCAACUGGGUGGCUGCCAUGGCAUUUGAUGUUGUGACCCGGCGGGGUGGAACUGCGCAGGACGGCGCUAGUGAAGGCCAUGGUGUCGAUGUCGGUUUAGGGGCGAGGCCUGGCAUGCUGUAGGCGGCCCGCGGCCGGCUUGUCGCAGACCAGCAAUGGAAGCGGGUUGACCCAGUAGAAAGAGCCAAAAUAUCCCUUGCUCGGAGACUUGCUCUCCGCAAUCUCCACCACUGUUUAAUUUUUGACUUGGUCACGGUGGAUCUACGGUGAAUCCAUCGAGCCAAAAAAUCCAUUGAUCCCUGAUUUUCAAUUGACAGUACUAUAGAUCAUUUAUUCAUAUGCAUGUGCUCUCCAAACGCGACAUUUAAAUCUUCAGGCGGCUUGGCUUGAGGCUACUCAACGAACAGGCGGCUCGUGGUAGCGGAGGCCCCUCGACACGGGGCGGCUUGGCUUAUUGGUGCCCGACCACAUCAGAUGCAAGGAAACAGCGGCCGGGCUCAGAGUGGAGGCUCGAGGCCACGGCAAAGACGGAUGCGGUGCUGGAACGGCUUGAGGCGUAGUGGCGCAAGUUAAGCCACGGAGGCACGCUGACUCGCUAGCGGCGGCUCAGAGCAGGGGCGAUUCGAGGUCAACGAGAGCGCUCCAGCGCGUCGACGGGAUACAUCCGCCACAACGGAAAAUUGGAGAGGCGCAGCCGUAGCCGGUUCAGCUUGGCCACGCCGAGGUAUCUUGCAGCUGCAGGCGGCUCACGACUCGCAGUGGCGCGGCACAUCCCGGCGGCUUGCAGCAGAGCUCAACAGCAGCGGCUCGACAUCAGCGAGGGCAUAGGCCGCUGUGAGGGCGUAAGGCACUGGACAGAAGGCGGUGGCAGUCGCUCGAUGCGAGAGUCGGUUCACGGCGGAGUGUUGGUGGUGCAGGGAGCCCUGCCGGCAGUGAAGAGCCAUGACGGGGCGCCGAUUUGAGGCCGCAAUGGCAGAGGCGCGCCGGCCAUAGCAGAACUGUAGUAGCAGAGGCGAGGCGGGUCACGGACCUGGCGGGUUGGAGAGGCGCGGCUGCGGCCAGUUCAGCAGGCAGCAGCCCGACGGACACAAGCCUGGAGGCGCAGGGCAGCUUCUCUAGCGGCAGUUCGACGGAUGCAGGCCGGAGUCGCAGGGCAUCUCUCUGCUUGGGGAAAGAGGAGACACAGCCUGGCCAGUUUAUCGCGGCAGAGGUGAGGCCGCUAGAUUGCAGUGGCGAUUUGACGCUGCAAUCGGUCAAGAGGCCCGUGGCCGAGUGGGUCAUGGCAAUGGCUCGGGGACAAAACUAUUGCAACUCGGCGACGGCGAAUCCGGGUCAUGGCCGAAAAUAUCUCUUGAAUUGUGGCCCCCACCCCCUUUUUUGUUAUUGAUUUCAUUCAUCCCGGUUUGUAAGUAUCGUAUGAUGACCAAACCGGGGUCUAGCCCUUGGUUCCUUUUACUUCAAAACUCGGUUUCGCUUCAAAUCUGAUUGAACCGACAACUUAAAUUUUUCUUUAGUAGAUACGUACAGGUUGGAUCCAUGGCGAUUUGACAGCCAACAUAGAUUGGACCAAAAUUGUAGAGAUCAUCCAUGGCGACUUGACGAUAAUAUUUCCUUGAUCUCAGUUGACGAGGCUAGUACUGACGCAAAUCCUUCCGUACCGGCCCUUGCCGAUCCGACGGAUUGUAAGCUUCUCGAUCCUAGGUAGAGAUCCCUCCAAGAACUCAACACCACUGUGCGUCUUGUGCCCUAAUAACCCACAAGUAUAGGGGAUCGCAACAAUUUUUGAUAAGUAAGAGUGUCGAACCCAACGAGGAGCUAAAGGUAGAACAAAUAUUCCCUCAAGUUUUAUCGACCACCGAUACAACUCUAUGCACGCUUGAUGUUCGCUUUACCUAGAACAAGUAUGAAACUAGAAGUACUUUGUAGGUGUUGUUGAAUAGGUUUGCGAGAUAAUAAAGAGCAAGUAAAUAAAAAGUAGGGGUUGUUUAGAUAAAGACACAACUAAGUUAGUUUUAGUAAAGAGCUUUUUGUUAUGAAAAAGUUAUUUGUCCCUAGGCAAUCGGUAACUAGACCAGUAAUCAUUAUUGCAAUUUUAUUUGAGGGAGAGGCAUAAGCUAACAUACUUUCUCUACUUGGAUCAUAUGCACUUAUGAUUGGAACUCUAGCAAGCAUCCGCAACUAUUAAAGAUCAUUAAGGUAAACCCAACCAUAGCAUUAAAGUAUCAAGUCCUCUUUAUCCCAUACGCAACAACCCCCUUACUCGGGUUUGUGUUUCAGUCACUCACGCAACCCACUAUAUGCGAAUCGUAAACGUAUUGCAACACCCUACAGUGGGAAUCCCUCACGCUUGCACGACAUGGAGAGCACCAUAAGACAGCACCAAUAAUAAAACAUGCAACUCAAACCAAUCACGAUCAUCAAAUAACCCAUAGGACAAAACGGAUCUAUUCAAACAUCAUAGGAUAGCCAUAUAUCAUUGGGAAAUAAUAUAUAGCGUUGAGCACCAUGUUUAAGUAGAAAUUACAGUGGGUAAGAGAGAGGUUACACCGCUGCAUAGAGGGGGGAAGAGUUGGUGAUGAUGGCGGUGAAGUUGUUUGUGAAGAUUGCGGUGAUGAUGAUGGCCCCCGGUAGCACUCCGGUGCCACCGGAAGCGACGGGGAGAGAGCCCCCCUCCUUCUUCUUCUUCCUUGACCUUCUCCCUAGACAGGAGAAGGGUUUCCCCUCUGGUACAUGGCCUCCAUGGCGGGGGAGGGGCGAGAGCCCCUCCGAGAUUGGAUAUGUCUCUCUGUCUCUCUCUGUUUCUGCGUUCCCGGAUUCUACCCUUUCACCGUUUCUUAUAUUCCCAGAGAUCCGUAACUCCGAUUGGGCUGAAAUUUUAACAUGAUCUCUAUCCGGAUAUUAGCUUUCUUGCAGAGAAAGAAGGGCAUCAACCUCCUUACGGGGUGGCCACGAGGGUCAGGGGCGCGCCCAGGGGGUGGGGCGCGCCCCCUGCCUCGUGCCUCCCUCGGGCACCGUCAAGCGUGGAUUUUUCUUCCCAAAAAUAAUAUAUAUUCCAAAAAAAUUCUCCAUCAGUUUUUAUCCCGUUUGGACUCCGUUCGAUAUGGAUAUUCUACGAAACAAAAAACAUGCAACAAACAGGAACUGGCACUAGGCACUGGAUCAAUAUGUUAGUCCCAAAAAUAGUAUAAAAAGUUGCCAAAAGUAUAUGAAAGUUGUAGAAUAUUGGCAUGGAACAAUAAAAAAUUAUAGAUACGACGGAGACGUAUCAGCAUCCCCAAGCUUAAUUCUUGCUCGUCCUCGAGUAGGUAAAUGAUAAAAAAGAUAAUUUUUGAUGUGGAAUGCUACCUAGCAUAAUCUUGAUCACAUAUCUAAUCAUGGCAUGAAUAUUAAGAUACGAGUGAUUCAAAGCAAUAGUCUAUCAUUUGACAUAAAAACAAUAAUACUUCAAGCCUACUAAUAAAUCAAUCAUGUCUUUUCAAAAUAAUAUGGCCAAAGAAAGUUAUUCCUACAAAAUCAUAUCUGGCUAUGCUCCAUCUUCACCACACAAAAUAUUCACAUCAUGCACAACCCCGAUGGCAAGCCAAGCAAUUGUUUCAUACUUUUUACAUUCUCAAACCUUUUAACUUUCACGCAAUACAUGAGCGUGAGACAUGGACAUAGCACUAUAGGUGGAAUAGAAUGGUGGUUGUGGAGAAGACAAAAAGGAGAAGACAGUCUCACAUCAACUAGGCGUAUCAACGGGCUAUGGAGAUGUCCAUCAAUAGAUAUCAAAUGUGAGUGAGUAGGGAUUGCCAUGCAACGGAUGCACUAAGAGCUAUAAGUGUAUGAAAGCUCAGACUGAAAACUAAGUGAGUGUGCAUCCAACUUGCUUGCUCAUGAAGACCUCGGGCAUUUGAGGAAGCCCAUCAUCGGAAUAUACAAGCCAAGUUCUAUAAUGAAAAUUCCCACUAGUAUAUGAAAGUGAUAACUCAAGAGACUCUCUAUAUGAAGAACAUGGUGCUACUCUGAAGCACAAGUGUGGAAAAAGGAUAGUAGCAUUGUCCCUUCUCUCUUUUUCUCUCGUUUUUUGGUUUUUUUAUUUAUUUAUUUAUUUUUCUCUUUUUUUGGUGGGCUUCUUUGGCCUCUUUUUUAUGUGGGCUUCUUUGGCCUCUUUUAUUUAUUUUUAAAGUCUGGAGUCUCAUCCCAACUUGUGGGGGAAUCAUAGUCUCCAUCAUUCUUUCCUCACUGGGACAAGGCUCUAAUAAUGAUGAUCAUCACACUUUUAUUUACUUACAACUCGAUACUAGAACAAAGAUAUGACUCUAUAUGAAUGCCUCCGGCGGUGUACCGGGAUGUGCAAUGAUCUAGCGUAGCAAUGACAUCAAAAAAUGGACAAGCCAUGAAAACAUCAUGCUAGCUAUCUUACGAUCAUGCAAAGCAAUAUGACAAUGAAUGCUCAAGUCAUGUGUAUGAUGAUGAUGGAAGUUGCAUGGCAAUAUAUCUCGGAAUGGCUAUGGAAAUGCCAUAAUAGGUAGGUAUGGUGGCUGUUUUGAGGAAGGUAUAUGGUGGGUUUAUGGUACCGGCGAAAUUUGUGCGGUACUAGAGAGGCUAGGAAUGGUGGAAGGGUGAGAGUGCAUAUAAUCCAUGGACUCAACAUUAGUCAUAAAGAACUCACAUACUUAUUGCAAAAGUCUAUUAGUUAUCAAAACAAAGUACUACGCGCCUGCUCCUAGGGGGGUAGAUUGGUAGAAAAAGACCAUUGCUCGUCCCCGACCGCCACUCAUAAGGAAGACAAUCAAUAAAUAAAUCAUGCUCCGACUUCGUCACAUAACGGUUCACCAUACGUGCAUGCUACGGGAAUCACAAACCUCAACACAAGUAUUUAUACUAAUCCACAACUAUCCACUAGCAUGAUUCUAAUAUCACCAUCUUUAUAUCGCAAAACUAGUGCAAGGAAUCAAACAUAUCAUAUUCAGUGAUCUACAAGUUUUAUGUAGGAUUUUAUGACUAACCAUGUGAAUGACCAGUUCCUGUCAUCUCUCUAAAUAGAUAUAGGUGAAGCAAGAGAGUUUAAUUCUUUCUACAAAAAAUAUGCAUGUGCUCUAACAAAUAUAAGUGAAGCAAAAGAGCAUUCUACAAAUGGCGGUUUCCUAUGUAAAGAGAAACAGGCAAUCCAAACUUCAAAUGAUAUAAGUGAAGCACAUGAAGCAUUCUAUAAAGCCAUACUCAAAAGAUAUAAGUGAAGUGCAUAGAGCAUUUUAUAAAUCAACCAAGAACUAUCUCAUACCAGCAUGGUGCAUAAAAAGAAAAGUGAAAACUAAAUGCAAGAGAUGCUCCAAGAUUUGCACAUAUCACAUGAGCGAAACGAAUCCAAAAACAUACCUAGCAUAAUUCUUGCCCCGGAAAGCAUCCCAAGCUUAGACGCUUGAGUCUCCUUGAAUAUUUACUUGGGGUGCCUCGGGCAUCCCCAAGCUUGAUCUCUUGCCUCUCUUCCUUCUUCUCACAUCGAGACCUUCUCGAUCAUCGAACACUUCAUCCACACAAAACUUCAACAGAAAACUCGGUAAGAUCCGUUAGUAUAAUAAAGCAAAUCACUACUCUAAGCACUGUUGCAAACCAAUUCAUAUUUUGUUUUUGCAUUGUGUCUACUGUAAUAUAGCUUUUCCAUGGCUUAAUCCACUGAUAGGAAUUGAUAGUUUCAUCAAAACAAGCAAACUAUGCAUCAAAAACAGAAUCUGUCUAAAACAGAACAGUCUGUAAUAAUCAGAACAUUCACCAUACUUAUGAUACCUGAAAAAUUCUACCAAAAUUAGGUAAAAUAAACAAUUUGUAUAUAAAGACGGUGCAAAAAGUUUCAGAACCAUUUGACAUUCCAGUAAAAAAUGUAAAAUCGCGCACUACAGCCACAGUUUCUGUCCUGCAUCGUACAAACCAUCAAGCAAAUGUAAACAUCCUAAAGGCAAACCUUGGCACAUUAUCUUUAUAAUACAAUGAAAUUGUACAAGGGGAUAAUUAUUUUUGUUGAAAAGUUUCCGUAAUCAAUAUUCAUAAAGUUUCUAUGAGCAUGAACAAUGUUCAAGGCUAGCUCCCACUUCAACAAUGCUUGUCUUUCUCACUUUCGCUUUUCUUUUUGAAAAAGUUUUGGGUUCCCCUCUUUAUUUUUGUUGUUUUUAAACUAUAUGAAAGCACUCAACAGAAAUAAAUGACUCUCUAAAACUUCCGGGUUGUCUCCCUGGCAGCGCUUUCUUUAAAGCCAUUAAGCUAGGCAUAUAGUGCUCAAGUAGUGAAUCCACCCGGAUCCCAAGGUAUAUCAAAGCCAAUUUUAAUUAACAAUGAUUUGUAAUUUAGUAGUGAGCACAAAGUAACAUAUAUCAUGUAACAACGAAGUCUAACUCUCUUCCUAUGCAUCGGCAUGUCAUAAAAGAACAAUUCAUGCACACAUAGUAAAGGCCAAUGCAUAGUAUAAACAGUUUCUUGCAAUUUUAUCGUAUUGGAAACAUAGAGAGGUGGAGGUAUAGUUCCUCUCUCAUAAUAAUUGCAAGUAGGAGCAGCAAGCACAUGCAAAUUAUAUCUAUCAAAAUCAUCAUGUGUAGCGGUAAAAGGCAACCCAUCAAUAUAAUCUUUAAUAAAGGCAAACUUCUCUGAUAUAGUGUAGUCGGGAGAGUUCAAAAAGAUAAUAGGACUAUCAUGCGUGGUGCAAUAGCAACAAUCUCAUGUUUAACAUAAGGAACUAUAGAAAGUUCAUCUCCAUAAGCAUAAUUCAUAUUGGCAUCUUGGCCACAAGCAUAGCAAGCAUCAUCAAAAAGGGAUAUUUCAAAAGAAUCAACUAGAUCAUAGCAAUUAUCAUAGCAUUCAUCCUUUGGUAAGUAUGAAGGGAAAUUAAACAAUGUAUGAGUUGAAGAGUUACUCUCACUAGAAGGUGGGCAUGGGUGAUCAAUCCGCUCUUCCUCCUUUUGUUCUUCGCUCUCCUCCUCAUCUUUUUCAUCCAACGAGCUCAUAGUUUCAUCAAUUUCUUCUUCCAUAGACUCCUGCAAAAUAUUAGUCUCUUCUUGGACAGCAGAGUAGUCCUCAAUAUAUGGUUCAACAUAGGCAUUAGAAGCAUAAUUAUCAUAACAAUAUUUAAGUAUGGCAAUAUUUUCAGACUUGUAAAGAGUAGCAUCAUACUUUUCAAUCAAAGAAGCAAUUUCAUAAGCACCCUUAAAAGCAACAAAUUCUUCAAUUUGUUGAACAUCAUAGUAAUUAUAAACACCCUUAGAAUAAGAAGAUACUAUUCCAUUAUCACUAAACAAACAUUGGUAGGGAAGGUGUUUCUUAGGGUCUUCAGAACAACAAGUAUAAUCAUAUAUUUCACAUAAAUUCCAAGCAUAGCAUUGCAAAUGAUGGAUUUGAUCCAGUAAACAUUUCCCUUUUUCAGAUAUGCGGUGUUGCACAUAAAAAGCAUGCUCAUCUAAAGAUUUGCCCUCAACUAAGCUAGUUGGGGUUUCAGCACGAGCACAUAGGGAUUGAAGAUGAUCCAAGUAAUAAGCUUCAGGAGUGUGAUAGAUUUUGAGUGGUUCUUCAACCAUUGUUUCAGUAGGUACAACUAUUUUUUUUGGUAUUUUGCGUUUCCUACCCAUAACUAAAUAUAGAAAACAACUAAGAACAACAAAUAAAAAUUACUUAGUGAUAAAGUAAACAAGCACACACGAGAAUAUUAACCCCACGUUAUGGCUCCCCGGCAACGGCGCCAGAAAAAGGUCUUGAUAACCCACAAGUAUAGAGGAUCGCAACAGUUUUUGAUAAGUACGAGUGUCGAACCCAACGAGGAGCUAAAGGUAGAACAAAUAUUCCCUCAAGUUCUAUCGACCACCGAUACAACUCUACGCACGCUUGAUGUUCGCUUUACCUAGAACAAGUAUGAAACUAGAAGUACUCUGUAGGUGUUGUUGGAUAGGUUUGCGAGAUAAUAAAGAGCAAGUAAAUAAAAAGUAGGGGUUGUUUAGAUAAAGACACAACUAAGUUAGUUUUAGUAAAGAGCUUUUUGUUACGAGAAAGUUAUUUGUCCCUAGGCAAUCGAUAACUAGACUAGUAAUCAUUAUUGCAAUUUUAUUUGAGGGAGAGGCAUAAGUUAACAUAAUUUCUCUACUUGGAUCAUAUGCACUUAUGAUUGGAACUCUAGCAAGCAUCCGCAACUACUAAAGAUCAUUAAGGUAAAACCCAACUGAGGGAGUCCUGGACUACGGGGUCUCCGGACAGCCGGACUAUAUCCUUUGGCCGGACUGUUGGACUAUGAAGAUACAAGAUUGAAGACUUCGUCUCGUGUCCGGAUGGGACUUUACUUGGAGUAGAAGGCAAGCUAAUCAAUACGGAUAUGUAUAUUUCCUCCUUUGUAACCGACCUUGUGUAACCCUAGCCCCCUCCGGUGUCUAUAUAAACCGGAGGGUUAUAGUCCGUAGGACAACAGACAAUCAUACCAUAGGCUAGCUUCUAGGGUUUAGCCUCUCAGAUCUCGUGGUAGAUCAACUCUUGUAACACUCAUAUCAUCAAGAACAAUCAAGCAGGACGUAGGAUUUUACCUCCAUCAAGAGGGACCGAACCUGGGUAAACAUCAUGUCCCCUGCCUCCUGUUACCAUCCGCCUUAGACGCACAGUUUGGGACCCCUACCCGAGAUCCGCCGGUUUUGACACCGACAUUGGUGCUUUCAUUGAGAGUUCCUCCAUCAAGAGGGCCCGAACCUGGGUAAACAUCAAAAACAACAUUACCGCCGGGGGAGCCCUGGCUGUCGGCCAAACUCUCCGGCUAGGCAGUUUCAUCAUGACCGCCCGUUCGGCUGCUGCACCGACGAUGACUUCUCGGGUCAUCGAAAACAGCCUCCACAUCGGCUCGAAAUUUGCCGAGCAGAUGGAUCCAAUGGAGCUCUCAUCCCUAAAUGAGCUCUUGGAUCGCAUCGUCGCCUUGGGAGUCGCUACGGACUAUGAUUGGAUUGGGCUUAAACCCGAUCAAACGGAGAUUAACUCUCCACCGGUCACCCAUCAUAUUGCGGUGGUGGAGGAACAAUGCGGUGAUUCUUCCUCUAUCUUGAGGACUAACUAUGUCCGGAUUCCUGAGCUCUCCGAGCCGGAUACCCAUUUACGGGAGGACAUCACCCAAGCCCUGAACCUAGAGUCAGGCGGCGGGCCAGACUUAUCGGGCAACAUCCCGAAACCCGAACUUCCAAGAUUGGAAACUCAUCGGCCCCUGGGUCUCAGAUCGGGUAAGGGUUCGGACUCAAAGCCACCCACCCACCCAAGCAUAAACGAUAUUUCCCACAUCAGGCAAGCACCCCAGGAAACAGUACAUCAUUAUUGGGCCAGAUUCCUCCUUGUGAUGAACAAGGUUAAGGACUGUCGCGAGGAAGACGCGGUCUCAAUUUUCUGCAAUAAUUGCACGGACAAGGGAAUCCUUAACGCCAUAAGUCGCCGUGACAUAUCACGCUUCGCCGACUUGGCGUCCAUAGUAUGAAAGUACUGUGCGAUGGAAAGCGCCUGGAAAACCGAAAUGAAAUUUUGGGAUAAUCCGGCUCCGAAUAUACACCCAGUACGAAGUAAAAGGGUGCACUAUCAUAAGACACCCGAGUUAAUUACAAAGAAGCAAAGACCAUCUACAGGGCGUGGAACUGUAUUGGAGGGAUGGCUCAACGGACCCUGCAAAAUUCAUAGUACAGCGGAUACCAUACCAACACAUAGCCUUAGAGCAUGUUGGGUACUCCGGCAGGUGGCCAAAAGUGGUGAGGAUCUUCUCAUCCCAGAUGCCACAGAGCACCAUCCCGGGGAUAACAAUACGGUAUUAACAGUCUUUGAAACCUUCGCAUCAAAUAAUAGGCGCAAGCGAACACUCCGCAGCCUUGCCGAAAUCUUCCACGUGGCAGCAAUAAAUCCAUGGAGUGACACGGCUAUUACCUUCAAUGCCAGUGACGAACCUAAAUUCCGAACAGCCCGAGCACCAGCUGCAUUGGUCCUUAGUCCAAUUGUGGACGGCUUUCGACUCACCAAAGUACUCAUGGACGGCGGCAGUGGAUUAAACCUCAUCUAUGAGGAAACUCUUCAAAAAUGGAAAUAGACUGGAACCGCAUUGAGCAAAGUAGCACAACCUUCAGAGGAAUCAUCCCCAGUCGGGAAGCACGCUGUGCUGGGAAAAUCACACUAUAUGUGGUAUUCGGCAUGCCGGAGAACUAUAGGUCCGAAGAAAUUACAUUCCAAGUGGCCUCGUUUAGUAGCGGAUACCACGCCCUUUUAGGGCGGGAGGCAUUCACGAUCUUCCAAGCUAUACCCCAUUACGGGUACAUGAAGCUCAAAAUGCCUGGGCCCAACGGAAUCAUCACUCUCGCUAGUGAUCCGGACACAGCACUCUGUGCCAAAAACAAAAUAGCCGCAUUGGCCCUCGAGGCAUUAUCCGAAGCCCUUGCGGUCGAGGACUGCCCUGCGCUCCACAGUGGACAGGGACGACGUGAUACUUGACAAGAGAUCCAAGUCCACCUCUUUUAAACCAGCGGAUGAAAUAGUCAAAUUCCAAGUCCACCCAACGGAACCUACAAAAACAGACUCCAUCGGGGCACAGUUAAACCCCGCUGUGGACGCCGCACUACGAGAGUUCCUGCGCGAGAAUUGGGACAUAUUCGCCUGGCACCCCUUAGACAUGCCAGGAAUCCCAUGCAGGCUUGCCGAACACAGCUUUAAUAUUCUAAAGGGAUUCAAGCCGGUCAAGCAGACUCUUCGGCGUUUCUCUGAACCUAAGAGACAAGCUAUGGGAGAGGAACUAGCCAAGUUAUUGGAGGCCGGAUUCAUUAGAGAAAUAAAACACCCGGACUAGCUAGCAAACCUGGUGAUGGUACCAAAGAAGGACAAAUCCUGGCGCCUAUGUGUCGAUUUCAAGGACCUCAACAAGGCUUGCCCAAAGGAUCCCUUCCCCCUCCCCCGCAUCGAUCAAAUUAUCGAUGCUACCGCAGGACACGAUUCAUCGUGUUUCCUCGACGCAUACUCCGGCUACCACCAAAUCAAGAUGGCGGAGUCCGACCAAGCCACAACGGCAUUUAUCACACCAUACGGCCCCUUCUGUUUCAACACAAUGCCUUUUGGGCUCAAAAACGCUGGCGCAACAUAUCAGCGCAUGAUUCAGACAUGUCUGGAGAAACAGAUCGGCAAAACAGUAGAGGCAUACGUAGAUGAUGUGGUCGUCAAAACCAAACAUGUCGAUUCUCUAAUAGACAACUUGAGGCUCACAUUCGGCAACCUCCGAACAUACGACAUCAAGCUCAAUCCGGAAAAAUGCGUUUUCGGUGUACCAGCCGGAAAGCUCCUGGGUUUCAUUGUCUCCAGUAGAGGAAUUGAAGCAAAUCCGGCCAAAAUCCGAGCUCUGUCACAGUUGGCUAUACCAACGGACCUCAAACAAAUCCAGAAAUUAACCGGAUGUGUGGAGGCUCUAAGCCGCUUUAUCUCCCGCUUAGGAGAAAAGGCAUUACCCCUUUAUCGCCUCCUUCGGCGCACCGAACACUUCGAGUGGACGGACGCUGCCACACCCGGAUUGGAAGAAAUAAAAGCCAUGCUGGCAACCAACCCAAUCUUGGCCGCACCAAACAUCGGCGAACCAAUGCUGUUGUACAUUGCGGCAACUCAUCAGGUUGUAAGCGCAGUGCUCGUCAUUGAACGAGAAACGGACGGACAUAAAUUCCCCCUUCAAAAGCCGGUAUAUUAUGUAUCCACUGUCCUCACUCCAUGCAAAUCACGGUACCCACAUUAUCAAAAGAUAGCCUAUGCGGUAUUCAUGGCAUCCCAGAAGCUGCGACACUACUUUCAAGAGUGUUCAAUUACAGUAGCCUCAGAAGUGCCACUUAAUGAUAUUAUAAAUAACCGCGACGCCAUGGGCCGAAUUGCCAAAUGGUCCAUUGAGCUCCUCCCGUUCGACAUAACAUACAAACCAUGGCGAGCCAUUAAAUCGCAAGUAUUGGCCGACUUUGUUGCCAAAUGGACGGAAGCCAAACUCCCUAAAGAGUACGGCGCAUACUCCAAUUGGAUCAUGCACUUCGACGGCUCCAAAAUGCUGGCUGGUCUGGGGGCUGGCGUCGUCCUGACGUCCCCAACCGGAGAUAUAGUUCAAUACGUACUACAGAUACUAUAUACAGACUCCAACAACGCAGCCGAAUACGAAGCCCUAUUACAUGGUCUUCGGAUGGCAGUCUCCAUGGGCAUUCAACGCCUGGAGGUGCAUGGGGAUUCGAACCUCGCAAUAUCCCAAAUAAAUGGAGACUUCGAUGCCAAGGAUCCGAAGAUGGCAUCCUAUCGCAACGCCGUCCUAAAGAUGUCAGCUCGGUUCGAGGGGCUCGAAUUUCACCAUGUGGCUCGGGAAAACAAUCAGGCGGCGGAUAUCCUCGCCCACAUCGGCGCAAAACGCGAUGCGGUCCCCCCCAACAUCUUUUUGGAGAGGUUGUUUAAGCCAUCCGUGGUAUGGGAAGGGGACACUGAUAACAAUAGUCCGGACCUGGCCAAAAUGCCCAAUACCGAACACUCUGACAUAAUCGGAGGCUCUGCCACCGAAAUAACACCUUCAGCUCACGUAAUAAUGGCCAUCAUCGCCCCGUGGACAGAACCAUUCCUGGCCUACCUACCUAGGGAGGAACUUCCCGAGGACCAAAAUGAGGCACGCUGCAUAGUGCGGUGAUCUAAAGCCUACAGGGUCCAUGAGGGAGAGCUGUAUAAAAAAAGCACUACCGGAGUCCUUCAAAGGUGCAUCUCCGAAGAGGAAGGUCGGAAGCUUUUGGCAGAAAUUCACGCCGGACUCAGCGGCCACCACGCGCAGCCCGGGCCCUUGUAAGCAAGGCCUUCCGUACAGGUUUUUAUUGGCCGACGGCCCGGGUAGAUGCACAGGACUUGGUCCAACGAUGUGUCGGUUACCAGCUUUUUGCAAACCAAAGCCACAUGCCAUCCACCGCCCUCCAAACAAUCCCCAUUACUUGGCCCUUCGCGGUCUGGGGGCUUGACAUGGUUGGACCCCUUAAAGGGGGAACCCAUAAGAAAAAAUACUUACUGGUCAUGGUGGAUAAAUUCACCAAAUGGAUAGAAGCCAAACCUGUUAAAACGGCCGAAUCCGGACCGGUGAUAGACUUCAUAUCUGGGGUUGUACACCGUUAUGGCGUCCCCCACGGCAUCAUCACUGACAACGGCACAAACUUCACGGCCGACGAGGUAAAACUCUAGUGCAGCAACAUGGGCAUUAAGCUCGAUUAUGCCUCUGUCUAUCACCCACAAACUAACGGCCAAGUUGAGCGAGCAAAUGGUCUUAUCAUGAGCGGCAUCAAACCCAGAUUAGUGUGGUCCUUAAAGGAGUCUAACACGCACUGGGUAGAGGAGCUCGACUUCGUACUCUGGGGGAUGCGGACCACGCCGAAUCGUACUACCGGAUACACACCCUUCUUUAUGGUGUACGGCGCAGAGGCGGUUCUACCCUGCGACAUAAUUCAUGACUCACCUCGAGUGCGCAUGUACGAAGAAACAGAAGCCGAGCUCGAUCGGCAGGACAGUCUGGACACCCUGGAGGAGGAGCGCGACGUGGCAAAAGCCCGUUCAGCAUUCUAUCAGCAACAGGCUCGCAGAUACCAAAGCAGAGAAGUAUGGGCCAAAACUUAUAACAUUGGCGAGCUAGUUCUACGCCUGCCGGAGAAGAAAAAGACCAAGCUCGAGCCCAAAUGGGAAGGUCCCUUCAUUAUUGACCAAGUUCUGACCGGUGGAGCGUACUGUCUAUGGGAUGCAUCGAAUAAUCGACUUGAGCCGAACCCAUGGAACGCAGCCAAGCUCCGAAGAUUCUACGCCUAGUGCCGGACUCUAUGUACGUCUCCUUCCUCUGUCCAUUUUUUGCAUAUACAUUAUCUGUCUUUUUUCUCUUCCUUCCUUUUAUUCUUUCUCAAGGCCUUCAAGGGCCAACUUGUGCCUUGCUUGCACACUAUUGACGCGCUAACCGCGCUCAUUAUACCUGGGGGCUUCUUACACAGAAGCUUAAUUAUUCAUCUGGGCUUCAUGCCCCGCACAUGUGUUAUUCUUCCGCAUGUACCUUUUCUUCGCCAUUAUAUGCAUCGAUAUGACUUAAGUUUUGGCCAAGCUGGGUUGCCUGACUCUUGUAUUUAUGCCCUACGUUCCCGUUAAUUCGGCUAGGGCAUAAAGGGAGCACCUUUGCGAUUGUUACUGUCGGGUCAGCUGGAUGUGUACCUCAAACUGGGUGAAGCCGAAAGCUAGCGUUCUUAAGGGAAUAUUCGGUCGGUAAACAAAAGAUGAUUUUUAUUUAUUUUCCAUAUGUGCCCCCAGAUGUUUUUGCCUGCGUCUCCUCUCGCAGUCCAUACAUGCACUUUAGGGCAUGUGUACCCAGGGAAAGGAACCCUUAACAGAACUAUUCUCCCUGGAAGAUGUUUCUUACUACCCAUGUAAUAUAACAUAACUAGUUGGAUACUUGUCUGUUCAAGCACUAAUGACCCCUACGCCUGGUUUCCACGCAUACCCCGGUUCUUAUAUAACUGAGCGGGUAUUCGGAUACACUCCGGACUAUUGGGUCCCGAGGUUGAAGCAAAAAGGUCUGCCAUGACAAAUGAUUUACAAUCCGGCUAGAAGGCAUUAUACAUGUCACUUUAAUUACAUAGUCAUGUAGACUGACUAAAUUCCUCUUCUAUACCAUCCAACAGGUUGUCUAGCCUACAAUCAUGUUGGGAAUACUUUGCGGAUAAUUCUACUUACCCAUACACUAAGCUAACGGGGAUCUCUUUCCCAUCGGGCCCCACAGGUCCGACCUCGGCCAUGUGGUUUGGGUCAGCCUUGGUAUACCACAUCUUCAUCAUGGCCCAGGCUUCCCUGGCACCUUGACGGCAGGCCGAUAUCUUCCAUAAUCGGAAGCGCCGCCGUGCUCCCUUGAGCUUCUCCGCAAGCUCUCCAAUGCCUUCUGGCAGGGAGACGGAUGGCCACAAGGCCUGGGCAAUACCUUGCAUCACCUGCCGAACUUGUUCGUGCAGUUGUGAGAGCUUGGGUAGAAGAUCACCCGCAGACCCGGGCAUCUCCUCCGCGCGACGACCUGUCAGCAUACCUGCAGACAUAACUCUGUUAGUCGGCUUCUCCGCCGCACCCUUUUAAGGGUUCGUUUAAGCACUUACUGAAAAUGCCGCGUCGAAGCCGCUUAUUCUCCUUCUCGGAGUCCGCAAGCUGGGCUCGAAUAUCUUUCAGUUCCAUGCUCAGCUUGGUAUUGGCAUCUUGGAGAUUGUUCUUCUCCCGCUUGACCUUAGUCAGCACGCGUUCGCCAGCCUUUAGCUGUCGUACGACAUGCUGGUCCUCCGGAUUCUCUCCGGAGUCAUCUGCAAUAUCUACUGUUAGAUCUGCAGCCAUGCCGCACACUAUAUAUAUGGUACCUACCAUUCUUUGAAACAAAUGUUACCAGCUGGGGACUUUUCAGGUUCCUUCAAUGCGGCAAUGGCGGCCCGAAGUUGGGUCUUGCAUUCCUCCAGCUCAUGUGACAGUCGAGUAUUCUUCUCUGUAAGAAGUUGUACAAUAAAUGAUACUUAAAUUAGUUGUGCCAACUGUUUCAAGUCUCAGGGGCUACUGAUACAUAUAAUCGUCAGAUUUGCUUACCCGUACAUCCCUUACAUACUGGUUCGUGGCUCUGGCUAGACCAUUUUGAGCAGCACGGAGGUACGUGUCUCCAGAAUUGAAGUCAUCAAAUGCCUCUGGUGAGAAGCAAGCGUCACGGAGUACGGCCCGGUGACGCCUAUGAUUCAUGGCGCUCUCCACUUCUGAAUUUGUAGCGGACAGUCUAUCCGCAUCCUCUAUAGGAGGAGUAUCCGGCGUCCGCCCCAUGUCGGCUUCCGCCUCUAUGUCCGGCCCUGGAGCCCGACUGGUGGAAGCAUGAUCAGUAGCCUCUCCGGACAUAUUCCGGCGAGCGUUUUUUCUAUUAAAGAAACAUGGACGUCAUUACAUUUUGAGAAAGACGACAACCACGGAGUGGGGUUUUUGUCAUACCUCUGCGUCGGCGUCUUCGUCCUGGCCACCUUCCGUGUUGGCCUACCCAGCCUCGGUGCCUCUUGUUGGCGAGUUGCUGCGGGUUCGGCACGGCGUCCCGAAUGCCUUCCCUGUAAAACACCAUAUGUAUAUGGUAGGUGAAGUGUCUAAAGGGGGAUCCUAGUUUUUGGAGUUGGGAUUUUGGUUUUUCUUACGUGCGACUCAGGGAGCAGUCCGGGAUAGUCGGCCGUAAUGGCCACCAUGGCGUCAUCACAGCUCAAUUGAUAGAACUGCCUGUCUAUCAGCUCCACGAAUAUGUCCGGAUCUUCUUCGAGUCCGGGACCGAGGGCCCGGUCAGGGUCCUCUGGUUGUGGAGAUGGGCUGUUGACCUCCGUUAUGGCCUUUUGCAGUUCCUGCCGUAAAAUGGCAAGGUGAGUACCCAUGACAAAGAAUGCGUGAAGAAUGGGAGUAAGGGGAUAUAACUCACCCAGCUUGGAGGGUUGUACAUGGAGAAUCCAUCCCGUGGCUUGAUGCGGAUGAACUCCUCUUCCUCUCCCUUGAACAACUCGGACAGAAUUUUUGCUAAAGCAGCAGCGGUGUCCGAUCCCUUACGCCCGCAAUGGGUGGUAUCAUCUUCCCCGUUAAAACACCACAGGGGGUGCCCUCGAUAUUGAAGUGCAUGCACUCCCCGCAUUAUGCAUAUUGACAUAACCUCGAUUACUGUCAAUCCUGAUUGAGCCAGCGCUUUAAUCCGGUUCAUCAGGUAAAGGACUUCUCCGUUGUCUUCCUCCUGGGGGCUCCAUGGGCGCCAGCUUCGGCGUUUCUUUAGAGGAGCAUUGUUGAACUCAGGAAGACCCCGCCGAACAGGGUCCGGAAGGGGGACGUCCUCCAUAUAAAACCAUUCCGAAGGCUAGUCCUCGGACGUCUUCUUCGGAGUACCGGACAGGUAUCCGGUUUCGGCGAUGCGCCAUAUUUCGGCUCCGCCUACUUGAUAAAGUGACCCCUUCUGUGUGGGGGGGACGAGGCAAAAUAACCUUUUCCACAACUCGAAAUGAGCCUCACAGCCCAGGAAUAACUCGUAGAGGGCAACGUAGCCGGCGAUGUGUAAUAUGGGAGCAGGGGUGAAAUAAUGCAGUUGGAGACCGUAAAACUCCAGGAGCCCGCGGAGGAACGGAUGAAUUGGAAAUCCGAGUCCCCUUAAUAAGUAAGGAACAAGGCAUACCCGCUCCCCCGUAGAGGGGCUGGGGAAGCUCUCCGCUUGCUCCCCGCCAUUGUAGGUGGCGACCCCGGCUCGGACGGGAACCAUAUACGCUGGAGGGAGAAAUCCCUAAGUCUGCAGUUCGACUAAUCGACUGUGUGAGACAGAACACCUCUCCCAAUCACCGGGCUUAGGGCUACGAGGGCGAGAGGAGGAGCUGCGGUGGUCGGCCAUGUUGGAGUGGAUUUUUCCGAAGCGCGCUCCGAUGGAUUCUCGCUGUGGGAGGAUGGUAUGGAUUGGAUCUAAGAAUCCCCAUCCCUUUAAUAGACAAUUUAUUUAUCUGGCUAGGGGGGCGAAUGUAAAAAUGUCCUAGCUCCUCGUAUUCAUUCGACGCGUGGAAGAUAGCCCUUAUUGGGCACGGAAGCCAAGAGGUCCAACAUUUAUGGGGCCAAACACUACUUAACAAACAUUCAAAAUUUGGAGAAGAACCCGCCUUGCAAUGCCGAAGACAAUAUUGCGUGUCGUACUUGACGUCAUUGAAGCCUGGUUCGGGGGCUACUGAGGGAGUCCUGGACUAGGGGGUCUCCGGACAGCCGGACUAUAUCCUUUGGCCGGACUGUUGGACUAUGAAGAUACAAGAUUGUAGACUUCAUCUCCUGUCCGGAUGGGACUUUACUUGGCGUAGAAGGCAAGCUAGGCAAUACGGAUAUAUGUAUAUCUCCUCCUUUGUAACCGACCUUGUGUAACCCUAGCCCCCUCCGGUGUCUAUAUAAACCGGAGGGUUUUAGUCCGUAGGACAACAGACAAUCAUACCAUAGGCUAGCUUCUAGGGUAUAGCCUCUCAUAUCUCGUGGUAGAUCAACUCUUGUAACACUCAUAUCAUCAAGAACAAUCAAGCAGGAUGUAGGGUUUUACCUCCAUCAAGAGGGCCCGAACCUCGGUAACAUCGUGUCCCCUGCCUCCUGUUACCAUCCGUCUUAGACGCACAGUUCGGGACCCCCUACCCGAGAUCCGCCGGUUUUUACACCGACACCAACCAUAGCAUUAAAGUAUCAAGUCCUCUUUAUCCCAUACACAACAACCCCCUUACUCGGGUUUGUGUUUCAGUCACUCACGCAACCCACUAUAAGCGAAUCAUAAACGUAUUGCAACACCCUACAUCGGGAAUCCCUCACGCUUGCGCAACACGGAGAGCGCCAUAGGACAACACCAAUAAUAAAACAUGCAACUCAAACCAAUCACGAUCAUCAAAUAACCCAUAGGACAAAAUGGAUCUACUCAAACAUCAUAGGAUAGCCAUACAUCAUUGGGAAAUAAUAUAUAGCGUUGAGCACCAUGUUUAAGUAGAAAUUACAGCGGGUAAGAGAGAGGUUACACCGCUGCAUACAGGGGGAAGAGUUGGUGAUGAUGGCGGUGAAGUUGUUGGUGAAGAUUGCGGUGAUGAUGAUGGCCCGCGGUGGCACUCCGGUGCCACCGGAAGCGAAGGGGAGAGAGCCCUCCUCCUUCUUAUUCUUCCUUGACCUUCUCCCUAGAUGGGAGAAGGGUUUCCCCUCUGGUCCAUGGCAUCCAUGGAGUGGGAGGGGCGAGAGCCCCUCCGAGAUUGGAUUUGUCUCUCUGUCUCUCUCUGUUUUUGCGUUCCCGGAUUCUACCCUUUCACCGUUUCUUAUAUUCCCGGAGAUCCGUAACUCCGAUUGGGCUGAAAUUUUAACAUGAUCUCUAUCUGGAUAUUAGCUUUCUUGCCGCGAAAGUGUUGACACACGAACACGUCAUGUGUACCGUCGACGCCGGGGGUGAUGCACUGCAGCUCACGUCGAAGGAGACCCGACCGACAGCGUGAUAUGCAAGACAGUCGGCGGGCGCUUUUGCAGACCCGAAACCCUGCGCACCCGGGAGGGACCCCGUCAGGGAUUGCGGUGGCUAUGGGCUGCCCUAGGUCGAUUCGCUCGCCCCUAGAUCCUCGGGAUUCGCAGCUCUCAAACACGAAGAACAGCAAAGAACGAGAGAGAAAAACGGUGGAGAGAUAAAACGUAGAUGAAAAAGUAGUAUAUUGAUUUGUUCGAUUGUGUGUUGUUCAAUCGGCCGUCACCCCCAACAUAUAUAAGAGGUGGCUGGACUUCCCGUACAAGCAAAGGAUUCAUCUAGGCUUUCCUUACAAGAAAAUUACAUCAAUUCACGACCUAGAGUCCUAGUUCUGGUCCCACUUGGAUUCAGCCCGAAUCUGAUCCAAUCUUUUGUCUUGAUCCUUGCGCGGGCCGUGGAAUCUGCAUAUGACUUCCGAUGGAGACAGUUCAAAUAUCAAUUUUGUACGCUUUGAUGAGGCCAACAAUCCGUAUGUUGAUCACUUUUCCAAAUAAGGCCAUCUUGAAUACUCCACGGGGUCAUCUUUAAUUUCGAGUCGGACUCGGUCAUGUAGCUGACUGGACCAUCCGACUCUUGUAGCGUCUCUGCAGGUCGUAUACUACGUUGGAUGAUGAUGACUCCAAAAGCAAAGUUUACUGUUUCGAUGUUACGAAUAACUUUCAUGUUGAACACUUCUUCAUCCGAGUCCAUCUAGAUAAUCAUUUGAGCCCAUCUUCUGCUUCUGGUCGGAUUGACCUUGACAGUUUCCACCCAGCAAGCUCUUUCCUGGCAAGCUUUUCAGCCCCGGCAAGGUCUUCGCCCGGCAAGCUUUUGCCGCCGGCAAGGUUUCACACCGGCAAGCUUCUCCGCCGGCAAGCUUUCCACGCCCGCAAGCUUCUCCGCCUGCAAGCUUUCCACGCCGGCAAGCCCUCACAUCGGCAAGGUUUUACCCCGGCAAGGUUUCGUUCAGCCGGCAAAGGCCGAAUACUUUCUCACUCAGGGCCGGCCCGCGAAGUGUUGCCUCUAACUUUUGCAUCGAACCCGGAUUCAUGACCAUGCCAAAAUCUGGUGUCAACACAUGCCCCCCUGUUUUUCGGCAAAGCUUGUAUGCCGAAAAAUAACUUGUAUUGUGUUUGUUCUAAGGACGAUGUCAACACUCCAUCGGCCAUUUAUUUUCCUCAGGACAAUAAUCAGGUAUCGGCCAUGUCUGUGCUAAGGGCGAUAGUCACAUAUCGGCCAUUGCCCACUUAGGCUUCUUGCCACACACUUGGGUGGUAUUUCUUCAAGUACUUGCCAUUGAGAGCUCGAGGUAACAGUGUCCCUUGUACGGAUUCCACCAAAUAAGAGUUUCCGGGAACUAUUCUUGCAAUUCUAAAAGGACCUUCCCAACUGGGAGACCACUUCCCGAAUUUUCUAUCCCUUGAACCAAUCGGGAGAAUCACUUUCCAGACGAGAUCGCCAACUUGAAAAUUCUUCAACUUAACCUUCUUAUUGUAAGCCCUUGCUACCCUCAACUUGUCCCUCUCUAUGGCCUUCAAAGCAGCCAAACGUUUAUCGGCAAUCUCAUCAAUAUUGUCCAUCAUCAAGUUAUAAAAGUCUACUGCCGAUAAAUCAUUUUGUUUGGCUAUUCUCAAAGCAUUCAAAUUCACUUCCACCGGUAAAACAGCCUCUUGACCGUAUACUAGCUCAUAUGGAGUCACCUUUGUAGCACCAUGUCUUGAGAUCCUAUGUGCCCACAAAGCUUCAGACAACAACUCAUGCCAUCUCCUUGGAUUAUCCUCAAUCUUCCUCUUGAUGAGCUUGAUUAAAAUUUUAUUGUUAGACUCAGCUUGUCCAUUGGCUUGGGUAUAAUAAGGAGAGGAAUUGAGCAAUUUUAUGUUAUAAGAUUCGGCAAAUUCUCUAACUUGGUGUGACAGGAAAGAGGAGCCUUGAUCUGUAGUCAAUGUUUGAGGAAUGCCGAAUCUAUGAAUAAUGUGCUCGGUUAUGAAUUUAAUCACCUUCGUAUGUGUCAUGUUCUUGAGAGGUACUGCUUCAGACCAUUUAGUGAAAUAAUCGGUUGCCACCAAUACGAACCGAUGCCCCUUUGAGGAAGACGGAUAAAUUUGUCCAAUAAAGUCUAAACCCCAUCCUCUGAAAGGCCACGGCUUGAUAAUGGGAUGUAACGUAGCAGCAGGAGCCAACUGAAUAUCACCAAAUUUUUGACAAGCUUCACACCCUUUGUAAUAUUUGAAGCAAUCAUUAAUCAUAGUCGGCCAAUAAAAUCUAGCACGUCGUAGCAACCAUUUCAUCUUGUGAGUCGGUUGAUGAGUGCCACAAAUACCUUCAUGGACCUCCCCCGUAGCAACUCUCGCUUGGUCCUCGUCCAAGCACUUUAGAAGAACAUCAUCAACCGUUCGGCGAUAGAGAUCAUCAUCUCUCAUUGUAUACUUGAAAGCCAUCCGCCGAACAGCCUUGUCCACCCUUCUACUAGGAUCACACAAAUAAUCAACAAUGGGUUUCCUCCAGUCUUGACUUUCUCGUGCAUUGAAUAUUUCAUUAAUGGUCGAAAUGGUGGGCUCCGGUUCGGCCUCCCCUACGUCGGCAAGACUAGACAUCGGCUUUUCAGAAAUAUGAAACACGCCAUGAUCAACAUGGUAGCCGGAUGCCUGUUGUGCCAACUCAUUCGCUUUCCAAUUGUCAUGUCUAGAUAUAUGAGCAAUGCUAAAACAAUCCGUAGAAAUUAUAUCUAGACAUUUAUUAAGAUAAACAUUAAGUGAUUCGUCCAAACACUGAAAGACUUUGGAUAUUUGCUGCACCACUAGUAACGAAUCACCAUAAGCCUCAAUAUGUGUAACACCUAUAGCAAGCAACAUCUCUAAACCGAAUAACAAUGCUUCAUAUUCGGCUUGAUUAUUUGUGCAAAAAUAUUCUAAGCGGCAUGAGGCUUCAAAAAUAGCACCAUGAGGAGAUAUGUAAACAAUACCAACACCUUGGCCAUUGCUACAAACUGAACCAUCAAAAUAUAAUCUCCAUGGUACUAAUGAGACAAGGUUUAUAUCAAUGUCACACUUGUCAUCAAUCCGAUGUUCAACAAUAAUUUAGCAACGAUUUGGCCUUUCAUGGAUUUUAGAGAUUCAUAAGCCAAAUCAUAUUCAAUCAAAGCAUAAGCCCACUUGCCAAUUCCACCACUAAGAAUUGGCCUAUGCAACAUGUAUUUAAUGACAUCGGUUUGACAAGCUACUAUACAAGCACUCGGCACUAAAUAAUGUCUCAAUUUUGUGCAAGCAUAAUAUAAGCAUAGACAUAGUUUCUCAAUAAAUGUAUACCUUGUCUCGGCGCCCAACAAGCGUCUACUCAAAUAUGUAAUAGCAUGCUCUUUUCCCUCGAUUUCUUGAGUCAAAACAUCACCAAUAACUUCUCCUUCUACUGCAAUGUAAAGCCUGAAGGGUUCCCUAUGCUUGGGUGCUUUCAUCACCGGAGGAGUGCACAAAUAACUCUUGAUCAUAUCAAAUGCUUCUUGCUGUUUUGCCCCCCAAGUGAAAUCAGUAUCAUUCUUUAACCGAAGGAUAGGAGUAAACGCAUCAACUUUCCCUGACAAAUUAGCUAUGAACCUCCUCAAGUAAUUGACUUUGCCAAGGAACUUUUGCAUAUCUCUCUUGCAUCUUGGAGCUUCCACCUUUUGUAUGGCCUCUAUCUUUUUGGGAUCAAUCUCUAUGCCAUCUUCAUGGAUAAUGAAACCCAAAAACUUACCAGCCAACACACCGAAUGCACACUUCAAAGGAUUCAUCUUCAGUCCAUACUUUUUCAUUCUUUCAAAAGCUAAACACAAAUCGGCCAAGUGGUAUUCAAAAACAUCCGAUUUGACAACAAUAUCAUCAAUAUAAACUUCAAGUAUGACACCAAGUAAAUCAUGAAAAAUCAAAUUCAUAGCCCUUUGAUAUGUGGCGCCAGCAUUCUUUAAUCCGAAUGUCAUCACUGUCCACUCGAAUAAACCAAGAAAACCAGGGCAACAAAAAGUUGUCUUGGACAUGCCCUCUUCGGCCAUAAAAAUCUGACUGUAUCUGACAUUACCAUCUAGAAAGCUAAUAACUUUAUGUCCACAAGCGUCAUUAAUAAGCAUAUUGGCUAUUGGCAUGGGAUACUCAUCUUUGGGUGUAGCCCUAUUCAGACCUGUGAAGUCAAUGCACACCCUCAACUUGUCGAAUCCUUUCUUUUCCACUGGGACAAUGUUAGAAAUCCACUCGGCAUACCUGCAAGGUCUAAAACCAGCCUUUAUAGGUAACCGAUGCUCCACUAGCUCUCGGCUUAAACCUGGCAUCUCAUGAUAUUCCCACGCAAAGUAACAGACAUAUUCUUUCAACAGCUCUAUCAACUUAGCUUUAUGAUCGGCUCUUAAAUUUGCAUUUACAAAUGUCGGCCUAGGAGUUGAACCAUCUCCCAUAUCUAUCUCUUCUAAUGGAUCAGCUGAUGUAAAACCUUGUCCUAAUUUAUCCAUAUCAUCUAACUCUUCUAUGGACUCAUACAUACCGUUCUCAUUGGACCAAUAUUCUACAAGUCGCUUUUGUAACCACUCUGAGUUAGGAUCCAUUUAAACAUAUCAUACCUUGGAGCCGAUUGCAUUCAGUCGGCUUUAAAGAGACGGGCACGAAACCAUUCUUGGUUGCACUGAGAAAAUCGAAUUCUGACAAGUCACGUCCCGUCAAGCAAGUAGCAUUUGGCUGUUGCCAAUCCACCAAUGCCUCGGCCAAAGCAACACAGGCCGAGUUAUCCGCAUAAAUGACUUCCACUUCAUCAUCAACCCACUGGAUCAAAAACUGGUGCAUAGUGGAUGGCACGCACUGGUUUGCAUGAACCCAACCACGGCCUAGUAUGACAUUGUAGUUACCUUGCACCUCAGCGACAAAGAAUGUGGUAGCCAAAGUUUUACUUCCCACCGUGAGCUCCACAUACAUCACACCUUUGGCUUCAGUUUUCUCUUUGCCUUCAAAUCCAUUGAGCACCAUGUUGGUCUUUAUCAACUCUUCAUCAUGCAGCCCCAAUUUUUUGAAGACCGAAUACGGCAUAAGAUUCACCACAGCACCACCAUCAACAAGCAUCCGAGUGAGCGGUGAUCCAUUGAUAUGACCUCUGAGAUACAACGGUUUCAGAUGCGUUACUGGGUCUUUUGGCUUCUCGAAUAUUGCAUUUUUAGGGCCAAAAUCCAGCUGAGCCACCUCCCCUUCCUUAUUGACAGCACGAAACUCAGCAGGUAAGUAAUAUACCAUAUUGAUAUCCAUACCUUCAUGAACCAGCGUAGACUCAUAGUCCAACAUAUCAUCCUCUUCUUCAAGUGCAUCCACCGAUUCUGAAAUUUGUCCAAGUGAAGGAGAAGUAAGAAGUGUCGCAGAUGAUGUAAUAGCUGUCGCAUCGUCCUCCUUUGGUGGCGCAGGUGCUGUUGUGAUAGGUGUAGAAGCAACUGCAUCUUGUAUUUGCUUAGGCCUCCACACUUGUUUUGUAGGCACCAUGGGCCGAGUGUCAUUGAACAACUUAUCCCUUUGCUUCUCGGCUUCUUGUUUUGUCAUCUCUUGACUCCUUAACCUCUGUAGUUUCCUCUUUUGUGUUUUUGUCAACCCUGGAGGACACCACUUUGGCUGAGUGUAUUUAGGAUCUCUCAUCUUUACUUGGCUGUUGUUUCCUUCAAGGUCAUUAGCCAAGUACUUUGGCGCGAUAGCAAGUAUCGGCUCAGUCGGAUCGUUAUGCAUAAUCAGCUGUUGUAUGGCGAAUGUUUCGGAGCCCAAGAUGAGUGAGUCGGUAUCGGUUUUUUCCUUGCCUUUGCUUGACUCGACCAUUGCAGCACUUAGCGAUUUAACACGCCAUUCUUGCUUGCCGACCCUUUUUUGAUUAUCUUGCACUGGCUGAUUGACGCCAUUGUUCAAACGGCCUCGUGUGGGAUAAGAAAGUCUCUCACAAACGGGCCUCCUUGGUUCUGCCCGACCCAGAUGAAAAGCAUAAGGGGCCAUUGGGGGCUGCCUCCAUCCUCCAUUGAAGUCCCCCACGUAGUAUGGCACACAGGGGGGUGGCGGCAUCCAUGGUCCUGGCGCCCACGACCCAUAUGGCCUUGCAUGAUGCUGAAAUUCUUCCCGAGGAGGUGACCUUGAGCACUUCCAAUUUGAUGACCGGUUAGAGCUAGAACCGGCCGCAUGAUUGGCAUACUUGGACAACAACAUAUCAAAAGUUGGCUUGAUUUUCUUGCGCUGCACUUUUGCCUCAUUCCUCUUCCACUUGCCAACUUCUGGACUCUUGGGUUUGACAAAUUUAACUCGAGUAUUUUCUUGCACUUGCGGUUGCCCUCCGAGUGUAGGAUUCUUGAUGGUGACUUUGAUCACUUCCUUGCCAUCGGGCUGCUUAUCAAGCACAACAUGUCUCCCUAAGACCUUGUUGCCCUCCUUGUCUUUCCUGGGCUCACCAAUAAUGGCAUUAGUUUUAUUAGCAGAUUCGGCUACCUCCUACCGAAUGAGUAGCUUCUUCCCCUCCAAAUCCAUGGUAUUCAUUGGAAAAGGUUGUUUAUCAACUUGCAUCUCAAAAAAGUUCAAUCGUCCGUCAUUAAUGGCCGAUUGUAUCUGUCGUCGAAAAACAUUGCAAUCAUUAGUAGCAUGAGAAAAAGAAUUAUGAUACUUGCAAUAAGCGCGCCGUUUCAGCUCUUCAAACGGCGGUAAUGUAUGAGAUAUUCUAAUAAUCUUAGCCUGCAGCAAAGCAUCAAAUAUUCUAUCACACUUAGCAAUGUUAAAAGUAAACUUCAUCUCCUCGUCACGAUUCUUAUGAAUCGGUUUCAGAUCAUUGCAAGUAAAGGGUUUGGCUUUAGAUGGCCAAACAAAUUCAGUAGAAAAAACAUCACUCUCAUCGUCUGAGUGAUCACUAUCAUAUUCCACCAUAUUCAUCUUUGGACGAUCGGCUUUGUAUCUAUGCACUUCUUUGAGGUCUUUGCUUCGGCUUUCCUGAGCCAAAGCCCUUUGUAAGACUUGGUUGAUAUUUAAGAACUCAUGGCCUUCUAGCUUUUCUCUAAUGGGAGUUCUCAAACCACUCAGCACCAGGUCCGCCAAGUCCCUCUCGGUUAUCACCAAACUAAAACACCGGUUUUUUGUUUCUCUGAAUCUCUUGACGUAAUCGGAGACCGAUUCAUCAUGUUUCUUUUUAACCGAUGUUAGAUGUGACAACUUAAGCUCAUUGUCGCCGCUAUAAAAGUGAUCAUGAAACUUCUGCUCUAGCUGCCACCAAACCCGAAUGGAACCAUGUGGUAAAGAAGAAAACCAUGAAAAUGCGGUACCAGUUAAUGAUAAAGGAAAUAAACGCACUUUCAAUUCAUUCGAUGAGCCUGCCUCACCUAAUUGUGCUAAAUAUUGACUAACAUGCUCCCAUGUGGUUUUUGUGCCUUCUCCAUUAAACUUAACAAAAUUUGGAAUUUUAUAUCCUGGAGGGCACUAGAUGGCAUCAAAGUACUCGGGGUACGGAUUUUGGUAAAUCCGAUUCCGAGGUAACUCAACUCCAAAAUUCUCUCGAAGCAUCUUAGCCAUCUCCUCUCUAAGAUUAGCUAGACCAUCAUCCAUAGUGGACGAUGAAGCUUGUGGCAGUGGCAUAGGAGGAGUAGGGUUACUAGCUGUAGGUAAGAAUUGUGGCAUGUAUGUCGACCCAUAAUUCAGUAGUGGUCGAGUGGUUGCAGCUGUAGGUAGGGUUUGGUUCGGCGUUGCCACCGAACCUGGCAUGCUCAUAAUAGGGUUGAUGGGUGCAGCCACAAUCUGAUUUGUUUGGGUAGGAUAAUAAGCCAUCGGCACGGGAGGCGCCGAUGCAAUAGGUAAAGCUAGAUUAGGGUUUUGCACACUAGCAGCUACACCAUCAUUACCACUAGACGAUUGAGACGUAUUCUUCUGAGCAUUAGUAUUUUCUAUGAAAGUUUGGUAGACUAGAUUGUUACCAUCAGCAAUACGACUUUCAAUCUCAGCCCACUGCUCAGGAGAAAAGGCAGUACUUACAGAGGGUUUAACCUGCUCAGCUUGAAGAGGAGGGAACUUGAUUUCUUCAAUCAGAGUGAUGUUGCCUUGGCGAUCCUUCUUGAACUUUGCAAGGAACUCCUGCAAGUCCUUCUCCUCGCGCGCCUUCUUGUACUCCUCAUAAACUUGGCGAUGAUCGGCCGAUAUCUCAUCAAGACUGGGCUUAAUGAUGUUAUCGGCGUCUACCUCAGAUGGCUUGGGAAUAUCAGACAUGGUGGAUGAUGACGAUUGAUCUUCGAUCCCCAGCGGAGUCGCCAAAAAGUGUGUUGACACACGAACAUGUCACGUGUACCCUCGACACCGGGGGUGAUGCACUGCAGCUCACGUCGAAGGAGACCCGACCGACAGCGUGAUACGCAAGACAGUCGGCAGGCGCUUUUGCAGACCCGAAACCCCGCGCACCCGGGAGGGACCACGUUAGGGAUUGCGGCGGCUAUGGGCUGCCCUAGGUCGAUUCGCUCGCCCCUAGAGCCUCGGGAUUCGCAGCUCUCAAACACGAAGAACAGCGAAGCACGAGAGAGAAAAAUGGUGGAGAGAUAAAACGUAGAUGAAAAAGUAGUAUAUUGAUUUGUUCGAUUCUGUGUUGUUCAAUCGGCCGUCACCCCCAACAUAUAUAAGAGGCGGUUGGACUUCUCGUACAGGCAAAGGAUUCAUCUAGGCUUUCCUUACAAGAAAAUUACAUCAAUUCACGACCUAGAGUCCUAGUUCUGGUCCCACUUGGAUUCAGCCCGAAUCUGAUCCAAUCUUCUGUCUUCCUCCUUGCGCGGGCCGUGGAAUCUGCAUAUGACUUCCGAUGGAGACGGUUCAAAUAUCAAUUUUGUACGCUUCAAUGAGGCCAACAAUCCGUAUGUUGAUCACUUUUCCAAAUAAGGCCAUCUUGAAUACUCCACGGGGUCAUCUUUAAUUUUGAGUCGGACUCGGUCAUGUAGCUGACUAGACCAUCCGACUCUUGUAGCGUCUCUGCAGGUCAUAUACUACGUCGGAUGAUGAUAACUCCAAAAGCAAAGUUGACCGUUUCGACGUUACUAAUAACUUUCAUGUUGAACACUUCUUCAUCCGAGUCCAUCUAGAUAAUCAUUUGAGCCCAUCUUCAGCUUCUGGUCGGAUUGGCCUUGACAGCUUCCACCCAGCAAGCUCUUUCCCGGCAAGCUUUUCAACCCCGGCAAGGUCUUCGCCCGGCAAGCUUUCCUCCCCGGCAAGGUUUCACACCGGCAAGCUUCUCCGCCGGCAAGCUUUCCACGCCGGCAAGCUUCUCCGCCGGCAAGCUUUCCACGCCGGCAAGCCCUCACAUUGGCAAGGUUUUACCCCGGCAAGGUUUCAUUCAGCCGGCAAAGGCCGAAUACUUUCUCACUCAGGGUCAGCCCGCGAAGUGUUGCCUCUAACUUUUGCAUACGAACCCGGAUUCGUGACCAUGCCAAAAUUUGGUGUCAACAGAAAGAAGGGCAUCAACCGCCUUACAGGAUGGCCAGGAGGGUCAGGGGCGCGCCCCCUUGCCUCGUGCCUCCCUCGGGCACCGUCUCACGUGGAUUUUUCUUCCCAAAAAUCAUAUAUAUUCCAAAAAAAUCUCCAUCAGUUUUUAUCCCGUUUGGACUCCGUUUGAUAUGGAUAUUCUGUGAAACAAAAAACAUGCAACAAACAGGAACUGUCACUGGGCACUGGAUCAAUAUGUUAGUCCCAAAAAUAGUAUAAAAAGUUGCCAAAAGUAUAUGAAAGUUGUAGAAUAUUGGCAUGGAACAAUCAAAAAUUAUAGAUACGAUGGAGACGUAUCAUGCCCCAUGGUGGGCCCCAACUGUCGUGGAAUUGUCACGACAAAUGUCCUAGUGUGAGGACUUAAUCGUGAGGCCAACGCAUCUAUGUGGUAGCUUGAGAGGGGUUGAGCGGAAUCGAGAGACGCAAUACAAGACAAGGAUUUAGACAGCUUCGGGCCCCGGGAAACAUCAUCUGGUAACAACCCUACAUGCUGUUUGUGGCUAGGUCUCAUUAUCAUCACGAGGGAGUCGCUGUAAACCGGCUCUCCCAGUUAUGCCUAACCCUUAAGAUUCUCUCCCUCUUGGGGUGCCCUGCCCCUCCUUAUAUAUGUUGAAGGGGCGGGUUACAUGUAGAGUCCAUCUCGGACUAAGACUUAAAUUGUUCUGACUUCUCCUCACGGGCUUCUCUUCAUGGUCUUCUUAAUGUCUUGGGCUUCUUAACCCCGGGUGACUUAACAUCAGCCGGUUUAUGACUGUCAACCGGGUUAUGAUUGUCUGUCGGGUUAUGACUGUCUGCCGGGUUAUCAUCUGACUUAACUCCUGCCGGGUUAUCAUCUGACUUAACUCCUGUCGGGUUAUCAUGUGACUUAACUCCUGCCGGUUUAUCAUCUGACUUAACUCCUGCCGGUUUACCAAGUACCAGCCGGGUUAUAACUCCGGCCGGGUCAUACCGCGAGGUAUAUCCCCGACAUUAAGUGUGUAGACCCUACGGGUUCGGGAACCAUGCAGACAUGACCGAGACAUCUCUCCGUCCAAUAACCAACAGCGAGAUCUGGAUACCCAUAUUGGCUCCCACAUGUUCCACGAUGAUCUCAUCGGAUGAACCAUGAUGUCGAGGAUUCAAUCAAUCUCGUAUACAAUUCCCUUUGUUUAUAGGCAUGUUACUUGCCCGAGAUUCGAUCGUCGGUAUCUCCAUACCUCGUUCAAUCUCAUUUCCGGCAAGUCUCUUUACUCUUUCCGUAACGUAUGAUCCCAUGGCUAACUCCUUAGUCACAUUGAGCUCGUUAUGAUGAUGCAUUACCGAGUGGGCCCAGAGAUACCUCUCCGUCAUAAGGAGUGACAAAUCCCAGUCCCGGUUCGUGCCAACCCAACAGAUACUUUCGGAGAUACCUGUAGUGCACCUUUAUAGCCACCCAAUUACGGUGUGACGUUUGGUACGCCCAAAGCAUUCCUACUGUAUCCGGGAGUUGCACAAUCUCAUGGUCCAAGGAAAUGAUACUUGACAUUAGAAAAGCUUUAGCAAACGAACUACACGAUCUUGUGCUACGCUUAGGAUUGGGUCUUGUCCAUCACAUCAUUCUUCUAAUGAUGUGAUCCCGUUAUCAAUGGCAUCCAAUGUCCAUGGUCAGGAAACCAUGACCAUCUAUUGAUCAACGAGCUAGUCAACUAGAGGCUUACUAGGGACAUAUUACGAUCUAUGUAUUCACACAUGUAUUAAGGUUUCCGGUUAAUACAAGUAUAGUAUGAACAAUAGACAAUUAUCAUGAACACGAAAAUAUAAUAAUAACCACUUUUUAUUGCCUCUAGGGCAUAUUUCCAACAGUUCUGCCCCCGUCCUCUUCGGCGACGGGCGGCUACCGGCGGUCUCCCGCUGGUCCAGGCCAUCAGCUAUUGUACGGUGGGGCAUAACAUGAUUGUUUUGGUGGGGAGGCUGGUUGGAGAGAUGGGUAAUCCGAUGUCAAGCUGCCCAUCGCCGGCAUAGGGGGUGCCGGCCGUGGCCAUGAGUCGCUCCUCCCCUCCCCCUUCCCCCGGCUUGGUGUCUCCGGUUGCAAUUCUAGCGUUGCUCGAGAUAGGGUGGUCGCUGGAGGUCGUGGCGGUUGGGAUUGUGGACCUGGUCAAAGUCGUGGCCUUGGUGACUCUCAGGGUUGUCUGGUUGGAGGGCGGCGGCUCUGGUGGUGGGACCGCGUUGGUUGUGGGCAGAUUACGUAGCUCGGGUGCGGGCGGGCAACCAUGGCCGCUUGGGUGGCAUGGUUGCGGGUGGUUGGCGGAGCGGGGGGGUGAUGGAUGGGUAUGAGCGUCGGGGUACAUCACUUGCCCAGUCCUUGUAUUGGCCGACGGUGGCGACGUCCAUGGAUGUCGUGUUCCUCCUUGAAGGCUCUGGUGCAGUGUUCCCAACUCCUUUCGUGAUGCUCCAAGAGAAAACUCGGAUCUGACGGUGGCAGGUAUGCGUAGUCUUGCCCUUCUUGAAGGCAUCGUCUUGCAGUGCUCGCUCUGGCAUUGUCCAUGUGACCUCUCCCCGGUGGAUCUCUCAUCUUGGUGGUGGUCUUCGUCGGCUCAAAGCGGUUCGUUGCUGCUCAUAUGUAGUGUGCUUGGUAAUCGUUAGGGAGGUGAGUCGAUGCCCGGCACCUUUGUAUCUUGCCUUUGGUAUGUGUGUGUAAUGAUGGCGUGUGUUUGUAUCAUUUUGCUCGGAUGUAAUACGAUGGCUGGGGAAAUCUCUUUUUCGUCAGUACCUAAUAAUUCAUUCCACAAACUGAAAAGAAGCACACAUGUAUGCAGGAAAUUUGUGGCUAUAUAUGCACUGAGAGGCAAACAAAGCGACAUAUUUUCCCGAACAAAGAAUCAGCCCGUUUUCACCAGUUCACUUGCACCACAAGACAUACUAUUAUAUGCAUGAUACAUUGAUACUAGUGUAUGCAUGAUAUAAGUGUAUGAUAGCGCCCACUGCGAGUCUAAGGGGUUGUUUGGUUUCCAGCCACAUAUUGCCACACCUUACCUUAGGCAAGUUUGACCAAGUUAGGUGGGUGUUUGGUUCUAACCACACUUAAGACAAGAAUUUUUUAUUAGUGAACCCCACAUGGCAUAGACAUAAAAAAAUGGCAAGAUUCCCUUAGGCAAGCAAAAAUAUGGCUAACAAUUUAAGCAACUCAAAUUAGGCAAGUGUGGCAAAAAUAAUAUGACAACAUAAGGCAAAUAUAGUAACAAUCAAAACAGCCCCUAAAGUACCAAACACUUUUAGUAGCUGCAGAUAAUUAGAAUGACAGCAAUCCCCGUGUAUCUCAUAUGUAAUGUCUGACACACUUAAUAGAACACUAAAAUACGUGCUUACCAAUGGAUACUAGUAGAAGUAGAUGGUGCAAGUCACAAGACAAUAGAUUUCUGCAUGAUCUCUUCACGACCGACAAAAGCACAUCAACUAGAUCGCAUUAUUUUAGAAAUCAGCACCGCUCAUGUCUGCAAUGUCGCGUGCAGAGUAGUUUCGCUGCUGCAGCCAGUCUUGCAAGAACCCCCUGAUCUCCUCAAACUCGUCGGCGUCCUGGGACGCCAGGUCGAACACCUGCCGCCCCAGCGUCACGCCGAGCCUUUGGUACCUUGUGCCACCCUGCCGCUGCAGCCAUCCCAGCUUGCAGCUCCUCGGUAUGGAGGACCCCCUCUCGUGCUCCAGCACGUGGAGGAUGUGCCGGCACGGCAGGCCGUCACGCUCCAUCUUACGGCAGCUGCACUUGAAGACGUCCUGCUGGUCGUCGCCGCCGGGGGACUGCAACACGUUAUAGAGCUCGCCGUGGAGAUCCAGCGUGUAGACCUUGUCGCCGGAGCCGUCGGAACUGCUGCUCAGGGUGUCGACGAUCUCGAAGUCGUCCAGCGCCUUGAUCUCCUCCAGCACCAUGGCGAAGUUGGCCGGCGUGAAGGACCGCGCCGCGUCUUCCUCGAGGCACUUGUGCUCGGUGGUCAGCGCAACGCGGGACUUGUCAGCCUCCUCGUCGAGCUCGGCCUCCUGCGCGCGCAUGUACUUGCACCUGAAGUCCACGCGCCGGAGCAGGGCGAGCAGCGUCAUGUCCUCGGAGAAGCCCGUGCGCAGGCCCGAAGAUAGGCAGAGGCACUCCGUGCUCUGGUCCGUCACCAUGCCGAGGAAGAACUUGUCACCGACGAAGGCAGCAGCCCAGAGCUCCCUCCUCACGUACAUCUUCAAGAGCCACUCCAGGUUGCUCGCCGUCCUGUGGCUGGCCACGAAACUAUGCCAUCGCUCCUCGAACUCCACAGGCGAGCAACUGUCCUCGAACAUGAGCGACCUGAAGCCGGCCUUGGCCGAAUAGCCAUCGAGGUGCUCCCUGAUGCCUCGCUCCAGGUGGCACGAGCAGAUCCGGUGGUUGGACUGCGGGAGCACGGUCUCGACGGCGAGCGCAACCGCGUCGCUGCCGUCGGUGAUCACAGACUUGGGCCUCACCUGGCAGGUGGACCUCAUGAAGGCUCGCUGCAGCCAGACGUACGAGUCGGGGGACUGGUCCGUGAGGACGCCGCAGCCGAGGAGCACGGGGCGGCGGUGGUGGUUCAUGCCGAUGACGGGGACCAAGGACGCUGCUGAGGCGCGAGUCGGCGUCGGCCCAGAAUAGCCUCUUCAGGUGGCCUGCGGCAUCGACCUCGUAAUGGUGGAAAUGUUCGGGGUGGUCCUCGUCCUUCCUUCGGCGCAGUUCCUCGAGCACCGCCGCCGUGUCGUCACUGCCGAUCAGCGCCAUGGUCGAUCUUGUGCCGUACUGCCGAAAAUCAAUUUGAAGAAUCAAACGAGUACACCAUCGAUGAAAUGCAAGAUGCAAACCAAGUAGGGCGAUCGGCAAGUAGUAACAUGGACGGAGGCGGGUGGGUACCUCGGGGCUUCGGCGGGGGAGGGGAGGCGGCGGCUGCGGAGAUGGCUUUUGCGGCAGGAGGAAUUGUGGAGAAAGAGAUAACGCAAGCGUGGAGCUAGGGCCUAAACGUUAUUAGGGAGUAGAAACAGCUCAGACCGCUGCCCACGCAGCCCACUACCUAAUGAUCAGGCCCUCGCGGCCCACAUCCUAACAAUUUUCUAUAUUCUUUUUUUCUAUAGUAACAGUUUUCUAUGCUUUAUACUUUUUAUUUUAGGGUCUUUUGAUUCGCACGAUUCAAUUCCAAAAGUGUAGAAAGAAGCAAAAUAUAGGAUUGAAGCAACAUGUCCACUUAAAUCAUAUAGAAUCAGCAGAGAGUGUUUGAUGCCAAAUAAUGAUAUUUCACCAACAAAACACAAGGCACCAACUACCAAUACAAGUAUACAACAGUUAACACCAACAAUGUACCAAUUCACACUUGAUUGUACAUAGAUGGAUAAGAAUGGAAUGGAGGUGGUGGUGUUGUCUUUAGAGACGGUGAAGAUGGCUUGAACGAAAAUGUUCCCCUUGAUGCCUUGGAGUCGGUGUUCGAAGCAUACACAAGGCAUUGUCCGAGGCCUCAACGUAGUCAUCCACCUGGUGCAUGCUUUGCCAAUGUAGUCAACAAACGACAAUCAUCAGAGUACAGUACAUGUAGAGGCUGACAGUAAGGACCCAUCAGGUUCAUGGUCGUAUGUAAGCAGGUGUCUCCUUUUCGAAGGAAAAAAUGCUUUCUCUUAAAGGGAUCCUGAUAUCUAAGAUCCACCGGGUUGAAACUUGUGUAUUGCGAUAUUUGUCUAGCCCUAAUCGUGUAUGUACAUAUUGGUAUCUUUCCAACGAUGAACUAUUCUCGAGUAAGGAGCAACACAUGUCGUACUAAUCGUAUGAAGAAAUUUGGGUCCUGACCUAGCAGGUUAUGAAGUCCUAUCUAAAUCGUCUACACGUACAUGCGGCCACGCUGCAAAAAUACAGACCAAAUAUGCACCAGUUUGUUCGUGUAUCGGCUGACCGCAUUCGUGUAUAUACGGAUGGUGUCUCCAACUAGCGCGCAAAGUACGCAUUGUACAUCGAGAGGCAACAUCCGAUGGGGUUAUCUCAUUACAUACGCAACAACGGAGCAGAGGCAACGGGCGCCUGCAAGGGUGGGGUAUAGAUGCAACAGCGGGAAACCUGAAACGAGGUACUGUAUAUCGGGAGGAAAGGGAAUUAACUGGCUACCCAGUGGUAGUGCGCCCGGUGCAUGGGCAUGUAUAGUUGGUCGCAUGUCGGCCGCCCCCGCGGCACCAAGGUGAAAUUAGCCGUGGCACAGCGCGCCUGCCUCGUGGUCAUGAUUGCCACGCUCAUAGCCGAAGAAGCCCAUGGCGGCGGGACUGGUGUGGGGAUGCCUCCCCCACCCACCCACGCGCACACACACUGCACGCUUGCCAUUUAAAAAAGGACGGGGCACAGACACUUCCUAUGGCUGACGAGCGGGCCCGAACCUGCAUGUCAAAUGACCGAAGCGGGUGGUUGGACGGCCGACAAAUGAGCCCAAGGCGGACACCGAGAUGACAUGUCCCAUGUUCGUCUUGUGUCCGUGUGGACGUAAAUUUGAGUCCAAAAUGCAUCCAGACUAACAUCGAGCGGACCAAAUUUAGGAUGCAUGGCUCCUGAGAUCACGUCUCUCAUGGACAAGGAAUUUACGGACGUGGCGUUUCUGCUCCUGGGCGGCUUAUAUGCAUUCGUGUGAGGAAAAAAAUCAAAAUAAAUACUAGAAAAAUUCAAAUUUGUUUUGUGUGGUAGAUAAUUUAAUGUGUGAGGCCUGCUUUAAAUUUCAACUUAUUUGAAUAUUUGUGCAGCUCUCAGCAAAAAAGACAAAACCGGGUCUAUAAAAAAGUGUACUGUUCACACACUGUUCUACCUGAUUUAUUUAUUUUGCCGAGAGCUACUCAGAUAUCUGAAUGAGUUGAAAUUUGGAACGGACCUCACGGAUCGAAUUAUCUACCACAAAAAAAAUUAGAUUUUUUUUGAAUUUUUUUAAUAUUUGUUUUGAAUUUUUUUUCAGACCAAGAGCAGAUGAGCCUGGGCACCGAGUUGGAUUUUCAAAAAGUUUACUUCAUAAAAGCUUAAAUGGGGACAUAAUAGGGUAGCAGAUCGACUGGUUAAUUAUGGCCGUACUGAGUCUAUUGACUCUGUAUGGCUUCAUGAAGAUCCUCCGUGUAUUGAGAAAAUUUUGCCUCUUAGUUGCAACUCUAUAUUCAAUGAAUAAAAUUUAUAUUUUUCCCCGAAGAAAACAGCAAAACGUAUAUUAGUCUAAUUCGAUACCCUUGCCCCUAUCCAAUAAGCUCGUGGAAGAUAGGUUGUCUUUUUUCUUGACAGAAACACCAAGCAUUCCAUUAUGGCUCGACUAAAUCGCCGGGCACCAAACGUUUUACGGUACAUCCGGACAGUUCGUCAACCACAAAUGUGUGGUCUCCGUGAACUUGCCAGGCACCCAGCGCAGCCAGCUCAUGAGCAGGCCUAUUACACUCACGUGGACAAGAUUCAAAACUAGCAUCAACAAAAUCAAGACUGAGGUGUAAUUUGGCUUCUCUAAACAGAGCACCAAGCAUGGCCGUAUCGAAAUCAUCGCUGUGGAUGGCUUGCUUGCUUGCUUGAGACUUGAGAGUAAUGCAGUCAGUCUUAAACAGAACCUUGCCCAUGCCCAGUUGCUCAGCAGUGGACGAGCUUCACUGUCACUGGUAUGCAUGCUGGAGAGCAACCGCCUGUACGAAGUUCACUGUGGAAAGCUCCAUCUAAAUUGAUUUUAAUCAACUCUCCCUCCGGCUUGACCCAUUUUUUGCGUCCCUGAGUGAUUUGCCUAUCCUUCUUGGCAUAGGUGUUGACUAGGUUGACUUCAGAUGGCUUUGUGAAAACCAAAAGGUGCAUGCACACAUUCUUUUUUUUUCGAGGGUUACAACAUACACAGAUGGGACGAAGGGCCAGCCUUACGCAGGCGGUCUGUAUGUUUUCAGCCCGCUUCGUAUAGUGGGCCGACAAGAGGAACACCCAGCCUAAACGCAGAUGCGGCCCACGUACCGUUUACUGCGCUUUUGCGGGACGCACGCGCGCACGAAGAGGACCCCUGUCUGUUUAGUACCACAUCGCCUAGCGAAGGAGGUUUCGACCAGUUUAUAAGCCCGACGCUUUCAUCUGCGUCGUCUCCUCCGGGACGUCCGAUAAAAUUGGAACGAUACAGCCUGCGCAAGGAUGGCACGCACAAAUCGAGAAAUGGUCCAAAUUUUUUUGAGAUUUCUCGCGCUGGUACCUGGUAUUUUUCAGAUAGGCCCUCGGCUUUCAUUUUGUGUCCUUUCGUUGCUUUUUUUCUUACGGCUAGAUCCCUCCGCUGCUCCAUAUCCUUCUAACGAGGUCCUCCAACUGGAGGACGGUGCUCUUUCGAGGUUUUGCGCUCUGCUCCCUAGUAUAUUGCAUAUAUAUAUAUAUAUGCCCAGGCUUUCCUCAUGUGUCAUUUCAUUACUCCUUUCUCUAACAAACCGGUCCCUUUCCUCCUGACGAAGCCUUUGUUGCCCUUGAGGACGGUGCUCUGCUUUGUGCUUGCAUCCUUUGUGUUACGUCUGUCUUCAUCUUUUCUAUUCGAAUGCUGGAGUUACUAACACUCAACGUUCCUGUGCUUUCUUCACAACAGGAAGCAAGCAUACUGUAUAACCAAGAUUGCCAAUUUAUCAACAUUUGGCUGCAUUCAACCAGCGAGUUUCGCCUAAAAGCAGAUUAAUCUGGCAAGGUAAAAUAGACCUUUUAUACCUCCUUCCAGCUGAGGGCAGCACAACACGAUAAAUACAAAAGUAAACCUUAACACACAGAAUUUCCUCUGAAAUGUAAAAAAGAACUUGAUACACAUAUCCCACUUAUCAAGAGUUCCAAGACUCAUGAGUUACAAUAGUACAUAGACGAAAUGGGAAAAUAAAGGACUACCAUUUUAUUAUCAUAGGACUAUAUAUACACCAUAAUAAACAAGUUGUAGACAUGCAAGACGCUUCAAGUUCAAGCAUGUGAAUUUGCAACCAAUCAACACAACCCUAUUAUUCGGGGACAGGUGCCAACAUCCCGCGGAACAAUAGCAGCCAGAUCCUUCAUGUUUGGCUGCUAGUUUAUGGCAGUACCGUCUGGCAGUUCCGAGCCUGAAGAGACAGAGAACACAGGAGUGGUGCUGAAGAACCAAGAAAUUCACAGCCGGCCGUACAGCGUAAGCAACUCCUUCAGCUUUGCUUCUUCGAGGCUAAGGCUGUCGAAGCUGACACAGCUUGGUAUCCUCCAUUUCCAAUUUCCUUUCUGCGGAUG
rnacentral:lncRNA from 1 species